rnacentral:lncRNA from 1 species
AUAGGAUUGUCGUACUCUUAAGCCAUUUUUUAUAAUGAAAAUUUCAAAUCGACGAUCGUCUUCAUUAAAUUUGAUUUAGCAUAUUUGAAGUAUCUAGAAAAUAAAUUUUGUGAUUUUUCGAUAUUAUUUACCUAGCGAUCGAUAAAGUUCAAAUUUAAUUAUUUAGGAAAAACUUGAAAAACCCACCUUGGGGUUUCGCACUUUCUCACUUUAGUACUCUGUGUUUUAAAGUGUAUCAAGUUAGUACUCUGUGAUUUUAUUUUUAUAUCAAGUACUACCCUGCGGUUUUAUUUUUGUAUCAAGUUAGUACCCUACACUUUUAUUUUUUUCUUAAUGAAAUAUUAAACCUUAUGGUACUAAAAUGAGAAAGUGUAAAACCACAUGGUACUAAUUUGAUACACUUUAAACCGCAGGGUACUAAAGUGAGAAUGUGCGAAACCACAUGGUACUAACUUGAUACAUUUUAAAAUACAUGGUACUAAAGUGAGAAAAAGUGAAACCACAGAGGGGGUAUUUGAAGUUUUCCUAAUUAUUUAUAAUGAUUAAUGUUUGUCAUUUUCAAGUUUAACUGUAUAAAAAUAUUCAAAUCAAAUAAAAUUUGUUAGAAAAUAUUUUAUACUAUCUAAAUCAGAUUGAAAAUUUUAGUACUAUAUCAUCAUUUUCUGUAAAAUUUUUAUUUCUAGCCACUGAUUUUACACCUUUUCGAACACUAGUUAAAUAAUAUUGAAAAAUCGUAAAAUUUAUUUGUUACAUAUUUGAAAUACGCUAAAUCAAGUCUAAAAGAGUCGAUCAUCAAUUUGAAAAUUCUCUCAUCGAAAACAUUUUCUCCAUUUGCUUCUACCAGCUCACCAGUUCUUUACACACACACACACACGCACACACACAUAUAUAUAUAUAUAUAUAGAGAGAGAGAGAGAGAGAGAGAGUAGAGCUAGAAUACUUGUAAAAGUAUCACCCAAGUGAUACUUGUGUGUUUUUAGCCCUUGGAUGGAGAAAUGUGAGGUUGAGAUGAUGGUGGUAGGUGGUGGUAGGUGGUGGUAGGUGGAAUAGUGUUUGAUCCAAGGACUAUUAGUAAUCAAAAAGUAGAUCCAAUGGCUAAAAACACACAAGUAUCACUUGGGUGAUACUUGUAAAAGUAUUCUAGCCCUACUCUCUCUCUCUCUCUCUCUCUAUAUAUAUAUAUAUGGGUUCAUGGUGGACCAGGUCCAGCGUGAUGGGUUGCGGACAUGGGGGAUGAUUAAUCGUCCGGAUGAUGAUGAUGAUGAUGCGAUGGUAACGUAAUCAGUAAGGCAGUAAAGUGACUAUUUUCUCUCUCCUCUCUCUUUCUCUCUCUCUCUCUGCUCCGUUAACCUUUUUUAAUUUUUUGUUCUCUCUCUUUUUUCUUUUUUUUUUUUCUUUAAGCUUUUUCGGUUAGCAGCUUUUCUUUACUGCUCAUUCCUCGAUUUUUUCAAGCACAAUCAUGAUGGUUUUUUCGCGGGUGUCGCGCGACCAGCACCAAAUAACCUUUUUCUUUUUUUAAAAAAAAAUAUAUAUUUUUUUUUAAUUUUUGGGCGCUGGGAUCGAUGAGGGUGUGAGCUAUUUUUACCGCUUAUUUUUACGUGGAACCAAAUAUCGCCUAAGCUGAUUGUGCUCGCUAUAGCUAUAUUUUAUUGAGCGAGUCAGAAAGGCUGAUCCAGUUUUAGUGUCACCUCAAUACUGUUGCGACACUAAUUUUAAUACAUUGGUUUGAAAUUUUGGACGCCGCAGUAUUUCUAAUUAUUUUAUAUAAUUAAAAUUUUAAAUUUUUAUGAAUCAGAUUAUUAUUAAUAGGAUAUUGCUACGCUUAAUUUAAUUCAGAAAGAUAAUAUUGGAUUACGACACAUGUAAAAUUAUUGUGCUUGGUCCCGGCGAGCAAGUGUUUGGGAGGAAACGGAUAGAGAACUAGAGAGAGAUCUACAGAAUAGAGAUAAGGAUUGCUACUCAAGUUUUGGUGCGAUGAAAAUAAAAAGGUCACCGACCAUCCCUAGAGCAAGUGGCAAAGGAUUUGAUAGUUGGUACCCGAGACCCAAGUUCAAAUUCUAGUUAAUUCACAUUUCCAGCUAAGUUUAUUUCUAAAUGAAAUAAACGAAACGGUAGCAUGCUACCUAUCUCUUAAAAAAAAAGAAAGAAAAUAAAGAGGUCGGAAGAGGUUUGAGAGUGGGAAGGAUUAAUUUUAAAUUUUUUUAUAAAUUACAGGAUAAUCCACAACAAAUAAUGCAAGAUUCCCUCCCCCUCUCCUAUAAUUUUUUUUUUUGGAAAAUUCUGUUUUGUUAAAAAUUCUGCGUUACUUAAAAAAUUAUAUGUGAGAUGAACUAAACGUAAUGAUAUGAAAAAAUUUGUAUUAGAUUUUCAGUAAUCAUGGCAGGGCAGCAUGAACCAAACGCAUCCUUACCGUACCGUACCAGGCCACUUGUCUUUCAGCAUUUUUGCCUAACCAAAGUUUGUCUAUUGAGAUUAGCAUCUUCACGUAGAGUGCGAAGGUGAGAGCAUUUCGAGCGAGCGGUGGUGCCGGAGAGUAGAGGCAUUUAACUUCAGCAAACCUCCAGUACUGCAAAGUCGAGAUCUGAAGUAAACAACGAACUCGACAGUUCAGCGCACUCGCGACCUCUCGGAAACAAAACAUACCCUUAUUCAUAUAAGUGACUAGUAGUAACUAGCAAAGGACAGAUUCUAUCGGCCCAGUAUGAUGGGCCAUGCCUCAAUUUUGAACUCUUUUCGAAGCGAGCAUCGGGCCAACCCAUCUUGAUAUAUAUUUGUGGCAUCCAUCUUGUGAAGCUGAAUUCUCGAUUAAUUUAUUUUCUUAGGUCUUGUUUGGAUGCCAGAAUAAGUUAUUCGAAGAUAACUUAAUCAGUAUGAAAUUUUUUUUUGUGUAGUUAGAAGGUAAUUAGGAGUUUGAUUUUCACUCUUUAAAUGGUCUUUCAAUUUUUGAGUUCAUUGAAUAGUAUAUCUCAAUCACUAGAUAAUUUAUUUUAUUUCGAAAAUAACUUGAAUGUUGACUAUACUAUUGUAUUUUAAACAUUUGAUCAUGCUCUUAACUUUUUUCAGAUCGUAUAGAUUGUUACUGAAUAACUUAUUCCGACAUCGAAAUAUGACCUUAUAUAUGGAUGAGAUAUAUGAUAAACAAAUUGUUCGUCGGUCCCAACGGGCCCUAACAAAUUUUUUAUAGUUUUUUUUUUGAGUAAACAAGGGUGAACCCUAUUUUGUAACAAAGGAUCGAAAAGCGAAAUGGAACACAAUACAACUUCGCCUUUCGGUUGGACCUGGACUCUUACACAAAGACCGCAACAAACCAACUAAUUACGCAAUUACGCCGACCUGAACAGGACAGUAACAAGAAACCAGCAGAAAACUACGGGUGAAAAGGAGAAGGACCAAGAGCUUGGCAAAUUAAGGGUUCCAGAACACCGAAGUCCAAAGUUUCACCAUGCUGAGGACCCCUUUUCCCAGUUCAUCGCUUUGUGUUGUCCAAUCAUUGAAUAUUCUCAUGUUCCGCUGCUUCCAUAGUUCCCAGCAGGCUGCUGCAAAACACACAUCAAAGAAAGUAAUUUGCCGCCCCCUCAAAGACCCUCUUGCUCGAAUCCACCGAGUAGAUAAGUCGCCAGAAAAGUUGGACGGUAACAGAUGUUGUGCGCUUCGAAAACCCCGAGUGAUCCGGUUCCAUACAGAUCUCGCAUAGGUGCAGGAGAAAAGGAUAUGUUCUAGGGUCUCUUCAUUGCUAGAGCAUAGAGCACACAUAGACGGGCCAUACCAGCCCUUCCUAGCAAGAGUAUUCGCAGUAAAAAUUCUAUUUCGAGCAGCAAUCCACAGAAAUACUUUGACCCUCGAAGGGAUUUUUAGUUUCCACAGAUGCGGAAUUUUGCAGUCGCUCACUCCUCCAAAAAUAAAAAAAUCAUAAGCACCCGUACCGAGAACAUACCGUUGGAGCUCCAGCGCCAAUAAGUCGAGUCACCCGAUACGGACAGAGCGGUGCUCUGGAUCAGCGAAUGAAAAUGUGGCAGCUCAGCCUGUUGCUCCGGAAGUAAUUGAGAAGGAUCGAAACCCAGGUUGGCCCUAUCCGUGAAUCGGCGAAACCAGUUGUUAACCGAGAGAUAUUUAAGGCUCGAAACGGUAUACAGUCAAAUUUUUUAUAGUGGACUCAGUAUUUAGACCCGAACCCGACAUUUACAACUUUUACCCACCCACGAGCUCUAUUGUAGUAGAGUCAUAGUUGACCUGUCAAAUUUUUGUUAGGUGAAUCUUUUAAGCUGAUUUGCACUUUUAAACUUAAUACUAUUAUGUAUUUGCCCAUUAACUCAGUUGUAUCAUAUUCCAAAUCUCAUACCUUGCCUUUCACGAAACAUUUUAAACCCGAUAUGUAUUUAAACCAAAGACUUGUAACUGUCAUAGUUUAAUUUGAAUGCUCAAAAGCAUAUAUAACUCGAGCCAAUCUGGGACAAUGUCAACUCUCUUUUUUUUAUUUAUUAGCAUUAGUAAGGGCAUUUUUGUUAAUUCGUGAGAUUAGGGCUAUUCAUUGAGCUUAGUUAUUCGAGAACAACCCGUGUUUCGCUCAUAACUCGGCUCGAAUGGCUUAGUUAAUAAACGGGCCAAGUUUAAACUUAGUUCGCUCGCGUUCAGUAUGAUUACACGUGUUAUAAGUUUGUUUUAUGAGUGUUUGUGUAGAAGGUUCCAUCUGUUUCAACAAAUGCAUAAAUUUAGUACAACGUACGUUACUCUUUUUCUCAUUAAUCUAAAAUAAAAUUUUAUGAACUAUACCGAUGAGCAAGUGGCAAAGGGCUUGAUAAUUGGUACCCAAGACUCAAGUUUGAAUUCCAGUUGAUUUAUAUUUCUAGCUAAGUUUAUUUCUAAAUAAAAUAAACGAAGCAGAUAGUGUGCUACCUAUCUCUCAAAAAAAAAUUUAUGAACUAUGUGGAAAAAAUAAUAAAAGAAGGGGCCUGGGUCUUAAUGAGCCCAAUUCAUAUUUCCCAGAUGCCCAUUUUGGGACAAAAAUUUUGUGGGCAUUCGUGCCCAAACAAUUGGGCACGGAUGCGGAUGGGCGCCGCGUGUGUACGGGCGCCCAUCACCACCCCCCUUCUCCUUUCUCUCUCUUUCUGAAAAACGGUCGCGAUGGGCGCCGCACACCACGUGGCGCCCAUCGGCACUGUCCCCAAAGAAAAUUGUUUGGCGACCAUGCCCACCAAAUUUUUGUCCCCCAUUUUGCACGUGCGAAGCACUAACGGUGCGGAGAAGCCCCACCAGCAAAUCUUGCGGGUCGACCUCAGAAGACCAACUAAUGGGGAUUCUCUUCCUGCACCGGGUCAACCAUUUCGUUAAAAAAAAAAAAAUCAACCCCUAAUAUUAUUCAGUAGAAGGGGACUUUAAAUAAAAAUAAAAUAAUUAAAUGUAAUAUAGAAUAAAGAUGCUCUUAGAUACAAUAUAAGAAAUAUAUUUCUGAAAUAUGUUAUAUUGAGUGUAUUGGUCAUUUAGAUACUAUUAUCGAUUACAACUAAAAUUUCAAUUUUGGAGAUUUUAUGAUGAAUGUUCGUAUACUGGUUCAAUACAAUUUUUUUUUAUACCCGGUGAUCUAACUAUACAUUUAGACAAAUUUAUAUCUUCUGUUUAGAUAAACGUUAUAAUUUAAUGUAUAGUAAUUUUCUAUACAUAUCAAAAUAUUUGUAUCCCUUCAGUUUUAAAAUCUGCUUAUUUAAUGGUUUAUUUUUCUAAUAGAAUCGCAAUAUAAUUGAAUAAUAUGUUAUAAUUUUUUAUUAUUAUUAAUAUUUUAACUUUAGGCACCCUAAUAUUUCUACAGUUCCAAAAUAGAUCCUUUAUAGAGAACCGGUCUAUAGUUAUCCGGUCCACGCAAUAAUUUCCACCAGCCCAAAGAGGAGGGAAAAAAAAGAAAAAAGAAAAGAAAAAUUUCCCCCAAACUCAAACGGGUCUAUUUCCCAUAACCGUUAUAUUAAUUGCUUGGUAAAUAGCAAGUUGAUCGUGACGGGGAUGAUGCUAAAAAAUCGAGUUUUAACAUGUUUAACUCGCUAUAUGAUCUUGUUUAUUGAAGAAUGGUCUUAAUAUAACUGUUUUGUUCAAGAAAUGUAAUAUGAUUUCAGCAGAGAUGCACUACAUAUCGUUUGUGUGAUAAUCUGAUAACAAAGUACAAAAUUGCUACCGUUAUAUGCUUGUCGAGAUCACCAACAAUUUCUUUGGACUGAUAUUAACUUAUUAAUUCCCGUUCGCAGUUGUUCCGGUUCUCUUUGACAACAGCUUGCGACAAUCAACGGGCGAUUGCGCUGUGAGUUUCGACCAUAUACUUGGUGUAGAGCCGGCGAAGUUAAAAAGCCCUCCUACCACCACUGACCGUCCCUAGAGCAAGUGGCCAAAAGCUCGGUGGUUGGUAUCCGAGACCCAAGUUCGAAUCCUAGUUGAAUAAUAUUUCCUUUAUUUUUAAAUAAAAUAAACGAAGCGGGUAGCGUGCUACCUAUUUCUCAAAAAAAAAAAGCCUGUUUUGACGUGUCUUGUUGCAUGAGAAGUUUCUUUUGCUCUGUUCAUAUUCCCAUUCGAUAUCUCUUAUCUUACUCCUGUAGGAUUUUGAGGAAUACCAAGGGAUUAAACUAAUUUCAGAACUUAUGCAGGAUGACCAGAAGGAUGAUAAUAUUAGGUUAAUCACUUAAAUUUCCAUCUUUGUGAUUUUUUUUUUUUUUUUUGUGAAGUUCAUAUCCAUGUAAAGUUAUGGUAUAACCUAUUCAGUAUCGGACAUUUCGCCCUUCCUCAAUGCUCGUGCUGGUGCUUUCCAUGCUUUUGUCAGGCUGAAAUGCGCCGAAUUCCCGCUAUUACUAACCGAGCAUGUGUAUGAAAAAGAAGAAUCAGUACAUGAAGAUAUCAGGGAUUGGCUUGGGGAGAAACGCGCGUCGCUUAUGCGGACUGCAGGCCAAUUUGGCUCAACCCUUGAUCCGGAGCAGAGAUCGACUGCAGUUCGAAACCAAGCAUGGCGCAUAUUAGAGUCCUUGGAGCUCUUAACUCUUGAGAAUGUUAACAAGUAAUGUAGCAGCCUUAUAUGUUUAGAAAAUGGACAGGUCCUUAUGAAACUUUUAUGUAAAAUUUGCUGGUUGGCAUCAAUCCAUGUGCCAAAUUCUAAACUGUAUGAUUUGCAUGUACCACAUAUUCAUCUUGUCGAGAUUCAAUUAUUGCUGUACAGGAACUAACAAUAUAGAGAAUCAAUAAUAUAUAUUCUUUUCGAAUCUCUUAUGAGCUGCAGUUUGGAAUAGUGAACUCUAUUAUAUAUGGAAAAGCAACCUGAACAAUUGUGUGCAAUCAUCCUUCUAGGGAUGUAAAACUCCCUAUAUUCAAUCUCACAAGUAUCUAAACAAGAUGAUAUGUUGUAGAGAAUUUCUGAAAAUAGCAACAUCCGCCAAUUCAGUAAGAAUGAGCACACCUUACAAACAAACUUUUGAAUUGGGACAAAAAUUGUUUACAUCCGCAUGCAGGAUUGCUACAGGUGGAAAGAAACAAUAAUAGACAUCAAAUUGAUCAUCAGCAUACUCGCCCGAAACAGCUUGCGCACAGAUGAAAAGCUCCAACUCAACGGGGAAAAGUGAUCAAGCCUCACGAGGUAUCAACCGAUUUGUGCGAAGUUAGUCUCAGGGGCAGGUUACACUGCAAGCAAAAAUUUUGUGAGCUGAUACAUUUGAGCACCCGAUCCGACACAUACUCUGAUCAAUCUCAAUGACCAAAUAGUGAUCACGAUACAGCAUGGCUCAAGCCUAAAUUGCUCAACUCCCUAAUUUGAAGGCAUCAACAAACAGACCGAGGCAUAUGCCGGCUUUCCAAUAAUUUACCAUCGCAACCAAAGACCGGAACCUUCCAACAGGCAUCGUGAACGGCUUUCUGUACAUAAGCAUGCCGAUCCCUUCAAUCGCAGCCACAACGACACCGGCGACAAGAACGUCCCAAUCGCCAGUUUGGCCUAGGAUGGUUGCGAGAGCAUUAGCUGUGUAGAAGCCCAAGAGGAGGAGGAAUAUCUUCAUGGGAAAGUUCUUUCUGGCGGCGUUCAGCUUCUCAAGAAGCUGCCUCGCAGCAGCUCCAGCUAUGGUGCCCAACCUCGUCCUGCCAAGGCCUCGGUUCUCUCCCUCGAGGUUAUUUUCGUCGUUAGGGUCGGGAGAUGCUCCUCCUCCUCCUGUGUCUAGAGCAAAUGCAAUCCUCCAUCUGUAACUUCUUACCUGACAGCUACACAAUUCGGGGGAAAAACCAACAAGGAAGCCUGUUAAUGUACAAGCCUACUUCAUUACUCCAGGUAUUUCUGCAAACAAAUCAUUUUUGCUUAAAUGCUUGCUCAAGAGCCAAUAGCAUAUUAUUGUUUCCUAUAAUUUAUUGUUCCUGUAAGUGCAGGCCUAUAUUCUUCGGCAAUAAUUGUGACGUCCGAAUAGUCUCGGAUGGAAAAAGAACUGCUUAUAAAAAUAUAAGGACCAAAGGCUUCAAUAAUAAUAAUAACUAGAUUUAAACAUUUUAGAUUAGCGUUUUGAAUCUAACGAGCUAUUAAUACUGACGGGCUAGGUUGUUGUAUUAAGAUAAAAAACAUAUAGAACUUACCUGAACUAUGUACCAAUUUGAGUUGACUACCGAACCUUCAAACUUUUUAUUUUAUAACCCAACCUUGAAAAAUUUUGAUUUGAGUCAAUCAAUGGCAUAUUGACUUCAAAAUUUACAAAUUUAGUUGGCAUACUUCAUGCAAUUUUCGUCACUAUAAAUUCAUUAAAUUUGACAAUUAGCUUAAAUUUUGAAGUUAAAGUAGCGUUGUCUAACUAAAAUCAAACAAAUUGAAAAGUUCGAUAGUAAAAUUAAAAUUUUGAUAGGUUGGAUAAUCCACUGAAAAUAAGCUCCGUAUCUUUUUGCCUUAUAUCAAUCACAUACUGUACAAUAACAUUCUAAUGAAUCUAAAUGGAUAUGGUCACAUAUUGUUCAAUGACAAUCAUAUUCAUGAAUGUUAUCAAACAGCAAGCAUAGCACUCAAAGCAAUGGAACUUAUUAUUAUUAUUAUUUAAAAAAAAUCUCUUUUGCUGCAUCAAAUUACACAACGCGCAUGCUUCGCUAUGAAAGAGCCAAAUUUUGAUUAAAAUCAACUGUACCUUGGAGGGGUAAAUGGUCGUUUACACGUCACGCCCACCUCCGCACAAGUUCUCAUCCCACUCCCCUGCGCCCCUCCGCAUAGAAUUGGACAAAAUCGACAAGAAGAUCCGUGCGCUAUAACAGUAGCCGUUCCCAUUCUCGUACUCACACCAUAAUUGUAAUUGUAAUUUGGGAGGGAGAGAUAACGAGGAAUUAGGGUUUCUUACGAAAGGGAUGAUGAAGAAGGGGGAGAAUCGCCCGUUCGGGCGACGGAGAGUUUUGGAGGAGAAGAGGCGCCCCAAAUCUCUCAUCACUGCAGUGAACCGGUUUAAACGGUGAACCGUCGGACCGGCUCGGGCUCUUCAACCGGUCCGAUCCGCGCCGGUCGAGGUGGAUCGAACGGGUCAGGCUUCAUUAAAAGUCGUGCAUGAGAUGGCACUCAUAGAGCGUUUCGAAUUCUAAAUUUUAAAAUCAGCAGAAACUGCUCAAACCUAUUUAUUAAAAUAUGAUUAUGAUUUUUUGACUAAAAUUUUAAAAGUUUUAUUUUGAUCUUAGAUUAAAAUUUUAAAUUUAAAUUUUAUUUGAAUUUUUAAAAUUUAAAUUUUAACUUUGAAAUUUUAAAUUUCAAAAGUUAAAAUUUUAAUUUAGAUAUUAAAUUUCAAUUUUAAAUUUCAAAUCUCAAAUUUAAUAUAAAAUUUAAAUUUCAAAAUUUUAGAAUUUAAAAUUAUAAUUUUUUAUUUAAAAAUCACAAAUUUCAAAAUUUAAAAAAUUCAAGAUUCAAUUUUUUUAUUUAAAUUUUAAAAUUUUAAAUUUUAAGUUUAAUUUUAGAUUUUAAAUGGUUAGUUUUAAAUUUUUAAUAUUUAAAUUUUAAAUUUCAAAUUUUCAAAUGUUAAAUUUUAAAUUUCAAUUUGCAAAUUUAGAUUUUAUAUUUGGAACUAGAAAUUUGAAUUUAGAUCUUAAAUUAAAAUAUCAAGAUUUAAAUUUUAAAUUUUAAAAGUAAAGAAAGAUAUAAUCAUGCUUAUAUAUAUUUAGCUAAAUAAAAUAGAUAUAAAAAAUAAUUAAUAAUAGUAAUUUUUAUUUUAGUUUUUUCAAAUUAUCUAUACAUCUAUACAUAUACAUUAAUCUCCAUGACUAAAUCCUACAUGUACCCACCCCUUCCUUCCAAUCUCACGCAAAAAUCAAAUUUCACCUACCUUCCGAACUCAUGCAAGAGCCAAUUUUCACCUACAUUCCUACCUCAUGCAAAAAUCAAUUUUCACCUAUCAAAACCAAUUUUCACCUAUCACCCAAACUCAUGCAAAUAUCAAAAACCAAUUUUCACCUACCUUCCUACCUCAUGCAAAAACCAAUUUUCACCUAUCAUCCAAACUCAUGCAAAUGGUAAGCUUAACUUACCCUCUCAAAUUACACUAUAAAAAGAAAUGUGAGAAAGCAAUUUUAUAUUCAUCCAAUAAUAUAUCUCCUUUUUAAAUAUGUUAGCAAUUGUUUUUGCACUGUUAUUCUUGUAGUAGUGAUUUUAUAUUUGCUAGUCGGAGAAGUCGUAUUAGGAGAUUAUGUAAAUAAUGUACUUUUACCUAAAUAUCCAUACUUCAGUAAAUCAAAUAUGGAUUAUGCAUCAGGGCAAGGUAUAUCCGUGCCAUGUCGUGUUUGUCUGUUUUUUAUUUAUUUUUUAUUUCUAAAAUUUUUAAUACUAGUUUACAAAGAGUAUAUAGUUGUUUAUUUAAUUUAUUACCAAAUAAACUUUAAAUAUCUUUUAUAUAGUUUUUUAUGAAAAUGUAUUUCAAAUUUGAAUAGUUUUCCCUCAAAACUAUUCAAAUUUGAAAUACUGAAAUAUAAGGUGCACCUUAUAUUUCCAAUUUUUUCCCCUCAAAACUAUUCAACUUUAAAAUACAUUUUCUUAGAAAACUAUCUAAAAGCUAUUUAAAGUUUAUUUGGUAAUAAAUUAAAUAAAUAACUAUAUACUCUUUAUAAACUAGUAUUAAAAAUUUUAGAAAUAAAAAAUAAAUAAAAAAAUAGACAAACACGACAUGGCACGGAUAUAUACCUCAUGCCUGAUGCAUAAUCCAUGUUUGAUUUACUGAAGUAUGGAUAUUUAGAUAAAAGUACAUUAUUUACAUAAUUUGCUAAUACGACUUCUCCGGUUAGCAAAUAUAAAAUCACUACUACAAGAAUGACAGUGCAAGAACAAUUGCUAAACAUAUUUAAAAAAGAGAUAUAUUGUUGGAUGAAUAUAAAAUUGAUUUCUCACAUUUCUUUUUAUAGUGUUAUUAGAGAGGAUAAGUUAAGCUUACCAUUUGCAUGAGUUUGGGUGAUAGGUGAAAAUUGAUUUUUGUAUGAGGUAGGAAGGUAGGUGAAAAUUGGUUUUUGCAUGAGGGCUUAUAUUUGCAUGCUAGUAAAUAUAAAAUCACUACGAGAACGACAUUGCAAGAACAAUAACCAAACAUUUUUAAGAAGAGAAAUAUUGCUGAAUGAAUGUAAAAAUGCAUUAAUCUCACAUUUCUUUUUAUAGUGUUUAUUAAAUAUCAAGAUCAACUUGAGAGGGUAAGUUAAGUUUACUUUUUCCAUGAGUUUAGGUCAUCACGAAAUCAGUAUGAAGUGGAAUAGGUAAAAAUUGGUUUUUCCAUGAGGUUGGAAGGAAGGGCAUGACAAAGUUAUGUUGAAGUCUCUAUUGCAAUAAUGCAAGUGUGAUAAGAAAUAUUCUCUUUAACUUUUAUAUUAUUUUUUUACCCUACUUGAGUUAUACUAGUUAAGUUUUUUAAAAUUUGAUUCCCUAUGAGCUAUUACCUUUUGAUUAUUUCUAUUUUUAUCUCUAAAAUUAACUAAAACUAUCAAAUUUGGUAUAAUCACAAAUAUAUUUGAUCACAAUGUAACAUAAAGAAGACACACUAUCCUAAUGACCAAAAAAAAUUGUGAAAUGAGAUGGAAGUUUUCUGGGCAAACUAAUAAAUGCCACCAAAAAAUACUGAAACAGAAAAUUAAACCAGUUUUUCUCGGGAUUAGUAUUUCAAAUUAUCCUGAAUCCUUGAGGAGAAAGAAAACCAAUGAUUGCAACUUUCAACUAUAUCUGGAGAGAAGCCUAGUCUGUGUAUAUAUAUAUCCUGCUAUUAUACUCUUAUUAGAGUGCUUGCGUUUGGUUCAGCUUAUCUUGGCAAGAUUAUAGGCAAUCCUGCCAGAAUUACUGUGUUUGGUUCAUCCGGUAUGUAAUAUGUUCGGUGUUGAAGUGCUACAAAAGAUGUAAGAUUACAUCAAAAAUAUUAUCAGUAGUGUGUAUCUUGGAUUACUGAAGACGACUAAUUUUGUAUGUUAUAUAAAAUUAUAAGUUUACUCUUUCAACCCUUUCAGUAUGUCAUUUUAAAAAUUUUAAUUUAAAAUUUUGAAUUGUCAAAUUUUAAAUUUUAAUUUUCAAUUUUCAACUAUCAAUUUUUAAUUUUUAGAUUUUAACUUUUAAAUUUUAAAUUUUUAAAUUUUAAAUUUCAAACUUCAAAUUUCAAACUUCAAAUUUUAAAUUCCAAAUUUGUAUUUUGAAUUCUAAAUUUUAAAUUUAGAAUUUUAAAUUUUAAAUUUAUAUUUAUAUUUUAAAUUAAAAUAUUAAUAUUUUAUAUUUUUGUUUAAGUUUAAAAUUUAAAAUUUAAAUUUUUUAAAAAAAUUAAAUUAUUUAAAAUAAAAGUAAAAAAUAUUAUUUGUAAACAGUAAAAAAAAGUUUGUCAAAUAUGAUUAAGGGCAAUUUUGAAAUAGACAAUACUUUAUUGUCAAGAUUACUGAAUAUUAUAGACUGAACCAAAUAUAGUAAUGCUAUAAACACUGCAAUCCAGUACUAUAUUACUGUAUUAAAUCAAACGCGCUAACACAGUAUCAGUAGUAAUUUCAUUUAAAAAUUUAAAAUAUCUGAAUAUAUCAAAAUACUCCGUAAUAUGAAGACACCAUACCUAGGUUGUUUAUCUACUAAAUCGUGAGACUUUUCUUUUUGUUUAUACGCAUGGUAUUUAGUUUUCAUGUACUGUAGAAGUGACUAAGCAACACAUUUUUUGCAAUAAAAGAAAUAUUAAGAAAGAUAGUUUUUAUUAUGAAUUUUGAUAAAUUAAUAAGUUUUUUAUUUGAUUAUAUAUAAUCAUUUAGUUUGACGAAAGACAAGCAAAACUAUGCAAGAUUUAGAAAACUCGAUUUAUCCGCUAGAGUUAAAGUAAUUUAAAAUAAAAUAUGGUUGAUAGGUUAAAAAACUGUAAUAGAAUAAAAUUGAGUAAAAAUUUAUAGGGAUAUUCUUAAGCGUAGAUAUAUUUUGGAAAUAGAGGGGUAUGGAGAUAAAAACCAUAUAUUGUACUAAUCAUCAAUUCCUGCAUUGUAUAUGGAUAUUUUAUUAAAUAAUAAAAUAAUUCUAAUGAAAAAAUCUAUCUUAAAAUUUAUAAAAGAAAUUAAAACUUAAUUAUUUGUAGAUAAUUUUAUUCAAUAAGAUUAUAUAACAUGUAAAAUUUUUAGAUAAUAUUAUCUAGGGCAAUUGCUUAUAUGCUUGUGAAAAGUUCCAAUUUUUUACUUGUUCCGUUAAGAAGACUAAUAUAAAAAAAAGGGCAAUUGCUUAUAUUUUUCGACUUUUUGAUUUACCUCUCUUAGAAGGCUAAUAUUGAAAAUACAUUUUUUACAUUCCAACCUAUUUCUAAUAUAUUUCUAGAGUUAAAAUAUAUUGAUAAACUCUGUUAUCUCUAUGAAAUUACUAUUUUGCCCUUUCAAAUAUACCCUUCUAUCAUCACCGACUUUUCUUAUUUGCCCUUAAGUUAAGAGUAUAAAAAGCAUUUUGCUUUUUAGUCUUUUCAAAUAUAUCCUUCUACCAUCACCAAUAUUUCUUAUUUCCCCCUAAAUUAAGGGAAAAAGUGGCAUUUUAAUUUUUUUUAACUGUGGUAGAUAUUUAACUCAUGUUUAACCCAAAUUAACUUAACGGAUGGUAAUUGCAAAGAUAUUUUGGAGUAACGGAGGAGCAAAUGAGGGUACAUUGGAAAAAAAAAAAAAAGUAGGAAUAAAUAAGAUAUUUCUGAAGUUUUAAAGGGCAUGUAGGAAAUUAUCCCUAAAAAAAAGAAAAAUACUCUUUUAAUGUUCCAAUUUCUUUCAAAUAUAUAGCCCUACAAUAGAUUCUGAUAGUGCAUUGUUACGAAAGUUGAUAUUUCUACAAAAUUACUAUUUUGCUUAUUCAAAUAUUUUUUUUUACUAUCAUUCAUUUUUCUUAGUUGUCCUUAAAAUGUCAAAUAUUUUGUUGUUUAUUCUCCAACGGUUAUGUUCUAGCGAUCAUCUUUCUUUUUAAGCUUAUAAAAAGUACAAUUAUGGCUAAAAAAUAGAUUACCAUGGCUAAAUCAAUAAUUCAACACAAUUACAUGUGAAUUAUCAUAGCAAUCACAACUUCACAAUUUCAUAAUUACAUAUAAAUCACUAAUAAAAUUUAAAGCUAGCGUUAUAUUUGAAAUAACUUAUAAUGUUAGAAGGGCACUUUACAUAUUAGUCUUCUAAAAAAGGUAAAUAAGAAAGUCUAGAACAUUUCAUGUGUAUAUAAAUAAUUGUCCCUUAAAAGGGAUAAUUACCUUCAUAAUAAUUUAUAAUGUUAAAAGAGGUAUUUUGAUUCCUUUUUAACUUUGAAAAAAUUUAAUCCGAAUUUAAUUCUAGAUGACUCAAUGAAUACUAUACUAAGAGCAUGAUUAUUUUUUAAUAAGAAAAAAUAUGCAAAAGAUAUACUUAGAAACAAAAAAAAAGAUACGUGUAAAAGUUUUGAGAGGUAUAAGGAUAAUUAUCCCUAUAUAUUAUAUACUAGUGUAGAAACCAGCGCGAUGCGACGGAUAAAAUUUUUUAAUAAAAAUAUAUAUUAAAUAAAUAAAAAUAAAUAUAAAUAUAAAGAAAAAAUAAAAGAAUAUAACAAAGUCAAAGCUGUAAAAUACGAAAUUAUUAAUUUUCAAUGGCUGUUCUUCGAGCAUUGUAUUUAUUUUCUAUUCCAAAGAUGCAAACUAAUAAUGAUUAACACAUUCUGCAUAACUCAUGAAAACUUAUCAGUUACUGAUUUUUUGCAGAAAUAAUUUUGAUAUUAUAAAUUAUGCAGGGACAUUUACGAUAACUUUGAACUUUUCAGAAGUACGAAUGAAAUUACCCUAAUUUUUUGUAUUCUUAUCGUCCAAAUGACAUCUUUUUCAUACUACUAUUAUCAUCUUUUAUUUUUAACUAAAAAUAAAGAAAAAGAUAGUCCAAGCCUAUAGAUGAAAAGCUGGUAAGAUUUACACAAAAAAAUUUAGUAUACAAAUAGUAUUUUUCUGUUAUUUUUUGCUUACACAAAAGCGGUGAAUAAUUCGUCAUAUUUAAAUAUGGUGAUUUAUUUACUGUUCAUAUUAUUUUUUUUUAAAAAUUCAAUAUAUUUUAUUAAAGAUCUAUUUUUAUAAUUAUUUUUUUUAAAAAAAUAUUUUUAUAAUUAUUAUAGAAAUUGAUAGGAUCAUUUAUAUAUAAAAAAAAUUCAACAACCGUGGCAAAACCGGUCGAAUGUAAUAAAUAAAGAAAAUAAAAUAAAAAAAUUAAAUAAUGUUUCUUUCUCGCCUCCCUCUUUGAACCGUUUUCUCCCCCUUCUCGAUCCCUUUCACCCUCUCUCGCUCUCCUCGAUUGACCCCAUCAAACCCUAAUUCCUCUUCCUCUUCCUCUUCGUCUUCUUGCUCUCGCUCUAUAUAUAUAUAUAUAUAUAUAUAUAUCACCAUCAUAGGGCGAAGAGAUAGAGAGAGAGGAGAGGAGAGGAGAGGAGAGGGAGAGAGGGGGAUCCAUGGCGAAGCUCUACGUGGAGGCGGUGCCCCCAGCGGAUAUGAACAAGAACACGGAGUGGUUCAUGUACCCGGGGGUGUGGACCACCUACAUCCUCAUCCUCUUUUUCUCGUGGCUUCUCGUCCUCUCCGUCCUCGGGUGCUCCCCGGGAAUGGCGUGGACCAUCGUUAACCUCUUCCACUUCGCCGUACGCCUCCCCUGACCCCUUUUUGAUCUCCGAUUACGAAUUUAGCGUUUGUUGAUUUAGCUGCGUUUAUUUGGGUCUGGAUGAUUUGGUUUUGGAAAAUAGGGUUUCUUGAUUGAAUCGGGGUUGCUGAUUGGGGGAAUAUGAGCGCAUGAGUUCCUAAAAGAACAACUUUUUUGGAAGAGUUUGAUGGGAGAUUUGAUUUGCUUUGUGCAGUUAGGGAAAGUUUUUGUCUAAUGAGUAAUCGGUUUCAGUUUUGGGUGCUAUCUUGCUUGAGGAUGGUUGAUAUGCUUAUCGUUGCUUUGUUCAUGUGAGAAAUAUUUCACUUUGCAAUGUUUGGGAUUCGAUGGUUUGUUGCUGUGAGCAGUCAUGGGUAAAUUCUCUUUUUUGAUUGAAUUAAAUUUGUGAAUCAGUUCUUGUUGUAGAUAUAUGUUUCAGGUAAUUUGCCUGUCGAAAGAUAUUACUUCCCAUAAGAUAUGUUAUAGAAGAAGCUAAACUCUCGGUGAUUCUUUAUUUCAAAUUGGAAAUGCUACAAUAAGUAAUUAUUCUUGUAUGUUGUUAGUUGGAAAUAUUUUGUAGCUAUUAUAAGGAUUGCAUUGAAAAGAUAAGGAAUUUAGGAAUUCUUGAACAUAUAUUGGAAGAGAACUAUUUCUUUUGGAUCUUUUAUAGGUCAUUUCUCUGUGAUUUUAUAGACACAUGUAGAACUUCAAGUUAACUUUUUGUUAGACAUGUAUACGGUCCGCGUGUUUUUUGUGAUUGUUAGACUGUUUUGGCUAUCAAGAAACAAAAGAAACAAAAGACCCUUCUUUGAGCAUAAAUGAGAUGAGAAUGCAAAGGUGGAUGAGCGAUUAUCGUUGAUAAGACGGGAUUUCCAAUGAAAACUUUUGGUCUAUAGUGGGAGUGGCUUCAAUUGUAGAUAAGGAGGGUUCAUUCAUUUAGGAAUGCACGAUGCUACGUAGAGAUGUGAAUUCGUUGUUCACGAGAGAAAGCAAUCCUUACAUUUGAUGUCAAAAGAAGCAGGGACAGACUAUAUAUGACAUGGUUAGAGGUGAUCAGUAGGACUUUAUUUGCAAAUUGUUUAGGCUAUUAUAUGGCACUGACUAAAUCUAAAUUGCGAAAGAGAGAUGAUUCAUGUAAAGAGCUCCUAAUUUUUUUUAUUUUUUAUUUGUAAGGACAGACCCAACCUAGGAUGCAUGAAGGUUGUGGUAAGGUAAGCAGAAAAUCGGUGGGAAAAUACUAAUAAGAAUGCAUAAUUUAAGAUGAUGGAAAGCAAAUAAGCCGUUUGUCAUCUGAUCAACAUCAGUUUUAUAACAAUAUUAAGUAAUAUGAUAGUUAAGCUUUAGUAGCACAACAGCAUCAUUGCUGUGUGGUUAGGGGAUCAAAUAAUCAGAAACGACAUCAAAGAAUGUCUUUUCAUUAUUGCAUCUGCAAUCUGCAUGCAACAGUAAUCCAAUACUUACAUUUCAGUUUUAGAUUGUUGUAAUGAUAAAUUGCUUUUUAAUAUUUUUACAGGCUUUUCUUUUUAAUUCUGAUCUUUGGCCCGUAAAUUAUCUUCUUUUGUUUAUUGUUGACUUGCUUGUGUAUUCACAUAAAGUUUAUCUUUUUCCUGCAGAGUUCUCUCUAUAUUUUAUAUUUGGUUCUUUCUGAUUUUCUAGAGCUUUCCUUAUGAAAUCUGUGUGUUUCAGAUCACUUACCACUUCUUCCAUUGGAAGAAGGGAACUCCCUUUGCUGACGACCAGGGAAUGUACAACACUUUGACUUGGUGGGAGCAAAUGGACAAUGGCAAACAGCUGACUCGGAAUAGGAAGUUUUUGGUUGUAGUACCCGUGGUUCUGUAAGUAUUCUUUCAUCAUCUUUGGCCACCAUAUUGUGCACAGAUUGGGGGCACAAAAAUGCUAAAACUAUUAUUUGCAUGGGCAUUAAGUACACCUAAAUUAUAUUAGGCAAAUCUUUAAAUCCCAAAUUGGCACUAGUAUAACCCCUUGGACUAAGAGAAACUAAGAAAUGAAAGUCUAUGUUCUUUUCAUAUGUUGUAGCCACCGUUAUGAUCUAAGCCUAUGAUGUUUUCAUGAAGUCUUCUUUCCAUGGGUACAUGCAGGCACGCAUGUUUGUUUAUCCUUUUCCUUACUUUCAAGUGGGUGGGUGUUUCUAUUUCUUCCACAGAUGUAUACAGUUCACUGCAGUUUGGAGUGUACUAAUACCGUACCUGGAAAUUUAGAUGGCAAACGUGUUAGUUAACAAACAUGACAUAAAUCGGUUGCAUUGUUUCUGAUUGGAGAAGCAGCUUCUUCGGUUGUUUGCUUUACAUGUUCCAUCUGUGUAACAUCAAUUUCCCUGCACUAGACAACAUUCAUCAAUGGGCUUGUUGUUCCCCCAUAUUCCAAUAUGUGAAGAUGAAGUAUAGAGAUGUGCCUGAAUCCUGCUCAUUCUUAACAAGGAUGUAAUGAAUAUCGAUCAAUGAAUAUCAUGACAUAGUUGACCUUCGCACAUAAGUGAGAUGACUAGCUACUAUAAAGCAUAAACAAGUAAAAUUGUCAGAUUAUAACACUCUCAGUCAUGGACAAGUAAAAUUGUCAGAUUAUAACACUUGAGCGCAUGAGUUAUAAAAUAUUUUUUGAUAAGAAAUUGAAAUUGAAGUAAUGAUCAUAAUAACCAAGGUCUACAGCAGAUAAAUGACUUCCUAUAGUAGUUCCUAACAGAUGGAUACAGAUUCUUAUGAUUGCUUAAUGCAAAGGUUCCAAUAGGUGCUAUCGUUUUGUUUAUAUGUCUAAUGCCCAUUAAGUUUGAUUAUGUUAAUAAGUUGUUGCAUUCUUUGUGAGUUUUUUUCCUUCUCAAAUAGAGGUGAUUUCAAUAUCUUAUAUUGUUAUAUUGGUUAUUUUCAUUCUUUGGUCAAAGAGCUAUGCAUUCCCUUUUUGUGGGCUAUGAACCUACGAGGCUCUAUGCAAAACUUUGAACCCUGUUAUGGUGAUAUUGUAAAAGUUGUACAAGUGUUGAAAACAGAGUCCAACUAUUCACUUUUCUUUCCUAAUUUAAUAGUCCUGCUUGAAAAGUGUGAUAUCUAUUACAUGGAGAGCUGCAAUCAUGCACUAAUAAGGUCUACAGAUACAUGUCGGGUAUAGUUCCAGUUAACAUAAUGCGGUGAUCAUAUAACAAGAAUAUUGAGAUGGUUUCUGUAUAUUUCUUUGAUAAAGUAUUGAGGUGGUUUCUCUAUAUUUCUUUGAUACCAGGUACUUGAUAGCGUCACACACAACAGACUACCAACAUCCAAUGCUUUUCCUCAACACUCUUGCAGUGAUGGUGCUGGUUGUUGCUAAAUUGCCUAACAUGCACAAGGUCCGCAUCUUUGGAAUAAAUGCAGGUAAUUAAGUGGCAACAUAAACUCACGAAAGGGUUUCUCUUUAGGUCUUUUUGUCCGGUUAAAUUUAUUGGAUGCUUAUAACUUACUAAAUGGGCUCUGCUUAAGUAUCAAUCAUCAACCAGUUCCGGCAAGUCAUGGUAGGAGGUUUGUAAUCGUUGUAUAGAAAAACUUUAGAAACUGAUGUUUUUCAGCUGCUGGCAAUCUGUAACUUUCAUGCUGUUAUCUGUUUUUUUUUUUCUUUUUUUAAACAAUGGUGCAAGAAUCUGUUUGGUGCCACUAUGUACAGUUUACCCUUGUUAUGAAUAAAUGCUCCAUUGCUAUAAAUUUUGAGUUGAUAGGACUACUCCGUCAUGUGGAGUGUGAAAAUUUUGACGAGUAGCCAAAGAGGCUGUAGGUUACAAUUGUUUUACAGAAUGAGUGAGAUGCCUCUUAUAUGUCUUUCUAAUACUAAGGCCUGUUUUGCUAUUUAUGAUUUGUUAGGAUAGUAUAUUUCACUUACAAUGUGAUGUAUCUUAUUCUGAACAAAAUAACUUGAAGUCCGAAUAUGAUAUUAAGUUCCGGUGGAUCAAGGAGGUAAUAAUCAUAGAAUAAUGACUGGACUGAGCAAUAUAUUUGGUCUAAUUAUUGGCUAAUCAUGCGUAGAGUUCGCGAUCAGAUUACAAAGACUUAUUAGGGAUUUUCUUUUGUUUGGGUAGUGAUUUGGUUGCUUACAACUUCAUGCUCUCCAUUAAACUAUUGGCUUGGUCGAAAUGAUAAUGGCCGGAUCUAAUCUGUUAUCGGAAUGUCAGAGUGGUCCUAGAACUUCGACGUGGUUUCGGGCUAUGUGAGAGUCCACUGCUGGCAUUUCAGAAGCAAUUCAUUUUCUUAAAAUGUCUUAACAGCGUAUUUCUCUUUGUAGGGUGUUUAAUUGCAGUGUGAUAUUUUGAUCAGACAUUUUCCAGGUUUGCAUCUAGUUUAUUGAGCUCUACAGCCCUUGAGCAGGAACAUUUGUUGAUUAGUUUAUGUUGGCGUGGAUUUGGCAAUGCGCACCUGUUUGUGUGGGCCUAUCUACUAAUCACCAGAUAGAGGAAGUUUUCUGGAUUGCAGUUACAUCACGUCAGUACUGUACAGCCAAUCAAAUUCAAACAAAAAUAAUAAUAAUAAUAAUAAUAAUAAUAAUAAUAAAGAUAAUUUUUUAUAAAUUAUAAUGGAAUCGAUGAAUUCUAAGAAAAAAAAUAUGAUUUGUUGGGCCAUGCGAAUAUAGGAUCAAUUAAAGGUGAUUGGCCUUACUGAGAUUUGAACAUCCCCACAGUAUCUGAGGAUUUUAGGGCAGCUAUCUUGGAAUAAAUGUUCAAAUCCUCGUUGGUGUCGUAAAUAAAAAAUGUAUCCUCAAAAGUAUUUUCAACCAUUACGUAAUAAGGAGGCUCUGUACAUAAACAAAAGUGAGUAAAUAAUGAUAAAUUUAAUUCAAUCUAAAUAAAUAAAACAUGAUAAAUUUAAUUUAGUUCAAAAGUAGUUAAGAAAAUUUACCUAAAUCAACUUCAUGCCUCAUAAUUUUUUCGGACGAAGGUUUAUCAACUUCCAUAGUGCCUACAAAACAGUGUUUAGAUAUAAAACAGUCUUAAUAGAAAGAUUGAAAAUUUAGAGAAUAAUGUUUAAUGUUAAACAGAACGGGACUAAAGAGAAAAGAGAGAGAAAAAAAACAAAAGACAAAAAAAAAAUAUAAUUUAUAAUUUUUUAAGAUUAAAAUCUAAUCAUUCAAUUGUAUAAUUUGUAAAGAACUGUAAAAUAAAAAAAAAAAACCUACUGAGAAGAUCAUGCCACGAGUUCAACAAAACUAAAGCAGAAGCCACAAAAACGAAAUUAUACUUAAAAAAAAAAUCCCAAAGCACCAAAAGUAGUGUUUAUUAUAAUUCGCUGACCCGUUUGAAGUGGGUCACGGUGAGAGGAAGUCAGAGGGGAGAGUUGCUGGGCGCCCAUCGCGGGAGCUUCCCUAACGGACGUAGGCUGCUGGUUUGGUCGGGCGAGGUAGACGACUAGACGAGGGUACUGCUGGGAUUUUCGAUGCCGGCUGCUUGGGUUUUGCAAAAGCACUUUCUACCUGCUCGAGUUGUUUUUUUUUUUUUUUGAGAGAGAUAGAUAGCACGCUAUUCAUUUCGUUUAUUUCAUUUAGAAAUAAAUUUAGCUAGAAAUGUGAAUCAUCUAGAAUUCGAAUUUGGAAUCUCGAGUAUCAAUUAUCAAGUCCUUUGCCACUUGCUCUAGGGACGGUCAGUCUGCUCGAGUUUCGGUGCGCAGAAUUUGGUGCGUUGUUAAUGCAGUUGAGAUUAACUACCUUUCUCGGAAUUGGAAUCGGAAUCGAAAUCGGAAUCGGAAUCGACUUGAAUUCGGAAUCUCGAGUACCAAUUAUCAAGUCUUUUGCCACUUGCUCUAGGGACGGUCAGUCUGCUCGAGUUUCGGUGCGCAGAAUUUGGUGCGUUGUUAAUGCAGUUGCGAUUAACUACCUUUCUCGGAAUUGGAAUCGGAAUCGGAAUCGACUUGUUUUGAUCGGGUAAAAAUAAAUUAGAACUCAGCCUGUAACAUACGUAUUCCCGUUAAAUCCCGGCCAAAACACCUCUUAACAUAAAUUGAACCAAAUCACACAGACGCUAUAGCAACGUUAAACCCUGGCCAAAGCACCUCUUAACAUAAAUUGAACCAAAUCACACAGACGCUAUAGCAACCGUAUGCAAUAUAGCUUAAUUUCAGCCAUACAAGAUAAGUGAUAAUAAAUUAUCUAUAGAUGAACUUAUCAAUUCUUUGUGGUAUAGUAUAUAAAAAAUUAAUAUGGUCUUUGCUUUCUGAAGGAAAAAAAAGAAAAAAAUAAAGAAAAAAAAUGAAUUGGUACCUUACACUAAGUCUUUAAUUGAUUAUCUUAUUCUCUAAUGAAAUAAAUAUAUUAAUUUGAUCAGAUUAAUCUACUUUCUUGAUGAAGGAUAACGGUGCAAAUUGGCUAAGAAAAAUAAAAAACUGGAAGGCUAUGAAUGCAUGACAAAGAAAAGGAGAAUAAGCUAAUCUACUAUGUUGCGAAAGCAAGAAAAAAUAUAGUAUUAUUGACCAAAAAUUUGACAAAUUUUUUAUUCUACUCUAGUAAAUAUUUAUAGUGCACUUAUAAUUAAAAAGUUUUGUAACCGUUAUCUAUGCAAAAUAAAAGACAAUAUAAAAGGGUAAAUGGGGAAUUUAAUUCUCAUAUUUAAUUUUUACUGGAAACUUUAUUUAAAGAUUUCACUCCUAGAAAAAAAAACGGUCAAAUUAAAUGUGCAUUAAUUUAGAAAUUUUUAUUUAUUUAAAGAAGAGCAUGAAGCACUAAUCAUUUUCAAUUACUAAUUACUUUAUAUAUAUAAAUAUGAAAACGUUAGAUUAUGAAAAUGAAGGGUUUGGUUUAAUGAGGGGUUAUGAGAAUGAAGAAUAUAACUCGCCACGUGGCAAAAGACAUUGAGAUUUCAUAUAGGUUUAUAGAUACGUCACGAAAUUACAAACACGCAAUCAGUUCUCGCUAAUGUUGAAGUUGGACGGUUGUCUGAUCGAACGACACUGACCAACAACGCUCCUACAUAUGACAGUUGAUAAAAACUGCUAUUAAUAGUGAAUAAAUAAUAUUUACUAUUUGUUUUUUAGUCUUUGGAUCCAUGCUAUUUCAUCUACCGCCACAAAAUUUUAGACAUACUGACAUACAUAUGCUAAGAUUAUUCAUGGUUGGUUGUAUUUGUGAAUAUCUGCAUUUGACCUCUCUGUUGAGUGUUAAAUUUUUGAUAUAGGAACUAUAUUGGAGCUUCAGGGUUGCACCCUAUAGAAGUCUUUAUAAACACUAGAUGCACUUGGCUCCUCAAAUUAGAUUUUGAGGAAAAUAUACAAAGGCCCCUCCUGACAUGUAGCAGUCUUACAAACAUGUGCUUGAACUUUUUGUUUUGGCAAUUAAAUACUGUAAACUUUAUCAAAUAGCUCAACAAAUCUGUUUUUUGGAGUAAAGUUAUCAAUUAUGCGGUAGUUUUCGUAGUUUACAUUGUAUAAAAUCCAGUAUAGCUAAAUACAAAGAUAUCUAUUUCUUUGAUUCUAAUAUAUAUAAAAUAAAAAAUAAAAAUUGAAAAUAUAUAGAUUUACUUUAUUCUUCAAUCCUCAUAAUUUAUUAUUAUAACUAGAAGAGAAAAAAACAUAUGCUCCUCUUCUUUUCAAGCUAUAUAAAAUUGUGCACAAAUAUGCUGUCAAAAUCAUUGUUCAAUUAGUAACUUUUAUUGAAGAGAGGGCCCGAUUGUUGAAGCCAAAAUUAAUAUGUCUUUUUUAUAAAAGUGUUCCCCCACCCCCCCCCCUUUCUCAGUUAGGUUUUUAAAUUGGGAUUUUUUUUUUGUUCUGUUUUCAAACAUGGCCCAAAGUAGGCUAAUUAAGCACCUCUCCUUUUCGUCUUAAGCAGGAAUCAAACUAAGAACUCAUGGUCUGAAAAUUGAGAUACCGAUCAAUUAUUUUGCUAUAGAAUUUGGUGAAAGAGAAAAAAAUCUAAAGCUUCUAGUACAUGUUGAAGAAAACAAAAUUGAGCUUUUCCCAAUUUGAUGAUGUUAAUUUUACUAAAAAUUAACUUAUUAAAAAGUGACUUCGAAUUAGAUGAUAGUUGACAUUCAAAUUUCAAACAGCAUUACGCAUCAUGGUGGGCCGAGAAAAUAUGAGAGUGAAUUUGUUAUACAAUUUAAUGUGCAGAAUUUUUCUGCACCUAGCUCAUCCAGUCGAGACAGAAUUAAAAGUUUUUAUUGAUCUCGUAUCAGUGAUUGACAGAAUAAACGUAUGUACAGAAAUUUUCUGUACAUUAGUCCAAAUCAAUCACGAAGAGUUCGCGAUUGAUUGUCGGGAACCAUCUGUUGUUUCCCCUCUACUAGAUGCUGCGGCUCUACAAUGGCCUAUUUGCUUGUCCUCCUCAUUUUAAUUUUAUUGGUGGCUAACAACUGGGGCAGUGCUGCAAAACUUAAUGGUACACCCAUCAAUGUAUGGCAUGCCCUCCAAUAUAGAGAGGAGCAUCAAAAUUGGUGCAUUCCCCUCUCGUGAAACAUUUGCUGUGCUACUUUGAAAGACAGGCCAAGCAAAGAUACUCUCGCAUCCCUACUCUCUACCUUGUGCUUGCGGUGAAUAUAGGUUUAAACUUUUUUGGCUCUUGUUAGGGGAUUGAUAUUUGACAAGCGGAUCGUGUCUUGGAUAUUAAUUACAUUAAGAGGCCGUUUGGUUCAAAGAUUGUAUUAUGAAUUCGUCACUUAUUAUAAUACUAAUUAAAUUUACUCUGAUAUUAAUUUGUUAUGAUAGAAGUGGAAAGGAUUAAUUUGCUGAGCUCGCAAAUACCAAAGAGAAUCGAAAAAAAUUAAAAUAUACAAAUAUUUAUGUGAAUCGGUCACUGGUCUAUGUCUACAUGCGAAAACGAAGCGAAAACUUUCAUUAUAAUCAAACUGGAAUACAAAAUAUAUAUAUUUCACAAAACUCCCGUCCCAAAAAUACACUUAUACUUUUUCUCAUCUGCCGCACGAAAUUUACGAAAUGAAGGGUAUAUUAAUAAUUGCUGUUAGAUCAUUCACAGUAACUAUUAUCUUAAAAGCUCGAGCUAUUAGAACGAUUAAUGUAACAUACCGAAUUUAUAAAAUUAUGAAGUUACGGUGUACGUUUAAAUGGUUCCGGUGAGGUUGCGGUGGAAUGUAACAUACCGGGUUUUAAAUAUAAAAAUAAAAAUAAAUAAAAAUAUAAAUAAAAAUAGUAUGAGAUACUAUUUUUAUUGGAUUUAGAGAAGUGAAAUAUAGGUUGGGAAUGACCUGUGCUGAAAUCGGAGCGAAAACAGGAGAUUUAAAAUUUUCUGUUGGAAAUGGGACAGAUAAAUUAGCAGAAAAUGCACAGUCUCAGAAAAUUAUGAAAAUUGGCGGGGAUGUCAGAAAUAUUUUAAUGAGGCUUCACUUGAAGCAUACAAAUACAGCAAUCAUGGGUCUCGAUUGUGACUGGAUCAAACCAGCCUCCUGUCACUUCGAAUAUGAUUCGGCGCAACUUGACCUUCCGUUUUUUCGAACGUGACUCGUCCUAACCCGACCUCCCGCCACACAACAGGAUGCUGGCACCCUUAAGCCAACAACAACUAAAUUUUAGUAUAAUUAGGAAUACAAAUCUACUAAGAUUAAGAAUAAUAUCAAUACGAUUAGGCACAAUUUAAUUUUAACUUAAUGGGAUAACCAAAAGAGAAUAAAUUUAAGAAAUCUUACGAUUCCAGAAUUCAAAAUAUAUCUAACCAUUUAUAAUAUUCUAAAAAUGUUAUAUAUUUUAUAUUUAAAAUAACAAGUUUGUAACUAACUUAUUAAGCUAUUUGUGUUUGGAGCUUGUAAAUAAAGUGUAAAUUAUAAGGAAAUAAGUAUGGCGUAAAAUUUGGAGGUUGAAAUCUAACUAUUAAAUUACAUAGUUUUUUAAAUUGUUAUGACAUUUUGUUUGUAAAAAAAAAGAUUUUUUUAAAAAAAUAUAAUAACUACAGCGAAAUACAUACAAAAUUGAAAAUAAUUAAUUUUAAAAAAUAAAUUAUAUAAAUAGUAAAUAAAAAAUCGUAUUAAUUUAAAUAAGGUAAACUUUAAAUACCACCCCUGUGUUUCGUACUUUCUCACUUUAGUGUCCUGUGGUUUAAAGUAUAUUAAUUUAGUACCAUAUAAUUUUUUUUUCUCUUUUCGUCAGCUCCUUCAUUAACCUUUUGUUAAAUUAUAUACAAAAAGCUUCAGAUAUCUUAUCUAAGUUUAUCGAGUAUUCACUUUAGUACACUUUAGUUUUAACUUUGUCACUGAUUUAACGAAAAAAAAAUUAGUAUAGAGAAUAAUAAAAAGAGAAAAAUAAAAUGACAGGAUACGAAAGUGUAUAUAUUUUAAACCAUAGGGAUGAUAUUUUAAAUUUUUUUUAAAACAAAAUAAACUAUAAAUAUAAACUGACCACAUCAAAAACUAGUAAAAUUAAGCGGAAUGUCAUUUUGCAAUGAAGAAAAAAGUUUCACGAGUAUAAUUAGACAUAACUCGGGGCAAAGCGGCCUCAUUAAUCUUAAUCCAUAUUUUUAACAUAGUUCGUAAAUUUAUAGUAACAAAUUAAAAUAAUAUUAAUAAUUAUAUUAUUUUAUAAUUUUUUUGAGAAGGUGGUUUCGAACCGUCCAAAGAAAAAUUUAGUAAACACGCGUAGAACAGUGGCUUCCUUAAUUGCGCAUUAAAAUACGCAACGGAGCAGUGAAGUUAUUAUUAUAUUAUAACCAACAAAGUAGUGGAAUAUUUCCUCGGCUCACAUCCCCAGGGGAAUGUUUUUGUGGGGUCCCGAGAUCCAAAGGAUGAAUGCAUGGAGAGUAGAGGAUAAAUGGAAGGCCGGCCACCAAUUAAUUGGACGAAUUUUAUCCAAUUUUUGACCAAAUUUCGACCAAUAAGAAUCUCAAAUCUCUCUCUCUCUCUUUCACACACACAUUUAGGGGUGGCAAUCCAGCUCGCUAUUCGCGAGUCAGCUCGUGUUCGGCUCGAAAUCAGCUCGAAAUCGAAUCGCUCGUUUAGUAAACGAACCAAACACGAGCUGAAUUUUUCAGCUCGUUUAAUAAACGAGCCGAACACGAGCUGUGAUCAACUCACUCGUAUUCGACUCGAUAACCGCUCGAAUAUAUAUAUUUUAUAUUUAUAUAAUUUAUAUUUUUAUAUAUAAAUAAAUAAUUAUAUAUAAUAUAUAUUUUUAUUAUUUAAUUUUUAGCAAAAUAAAAAUAUAAAUGCGAACUUAAUUAUAAAAAGACUUAUUUAUAUGUAAAGUUUUAACUAUUAGAUCAAAAUCUAAUGAAUAAGAUUUUAUANGAAUAUAUAUAUUUUAUAUUUAUAUAAUUUAUUUAAUUUAUAUUUUUAUAUAUAAAUAAAUAAUUAUAUAUAAUAUAUAUUUUUAUUAUUUAAUUUUUAGCAAAAUAAAAAUAUAAAUGCGAACUUAAUUAUAAAAAGAUUUAUUUAUAUGUAAAGUUUUAACUAUUAGAUCAAAAUCUAAUGAAUAAGAUUUUAUAAAUUUAUUUUUUUAUAUAUAUUUAAUCUAAUCUUUUUUGAUUUAGUGUUCGUUGGCCAGCUCGUGUACGGCUCAUUUAUUGUGUUCGGCUCGUUAAUAAACGAGCCGAACACGAGCUAAAUUUUUCGGCUCGAUACUUUAACGAGCCAGCUCAUGUUCAACCGAACACGAGUCAACCCCAGCUCACUCGUGUUCGACUCGUUUACACCCCUACACACACAUGACACAUAUAGAUGUCAACUGGUCGGAUUCGGGGCGGAUUUUCAAAUAUCCGAACCUGAACCCGACUCCAAACCUGAGAUCCGAACCCGACGGAUUUUAAAAAUUCAUAUCCAAAUCCGAACCCGACCAAAAAUUCAAAACCCAAACCCGAACCAAUUAUUUUUUUUUUCAAUAUUUCAAAAUAUAUUAUUUUAAAUCUAAAUUUUUAAAAUACAAAUUCAAAUAUAACAUCAUAUAUAUAUUAUAAAAUAAAUUCGGAUUCGGGUUAGGUUAGGGUUGGGUACAGUCAAAAGGUCAAAAUACAUAUCCGAAUCUAUAUCCGUCGGAUUUCUAUUUUUUAUAUCAAUAUCUGAAUCCAUAUCCAUUUAGUAUCGGAUAUAUCCGUUUCAUUCGGCUCCGGGUUCGGAUAAAAUUUCGGGUAUCCAUACCAAUUGACAUAUAUAUAUAUAUAUAAUAGAUUGCCUACAGGCUGUUACUUAAAAUAAAUAAAUAAAUAAAACAAAACAAAAUGCACGCAUGGGGGAAGAGGGAUCAACACACACACACACAUAUAUAUAUAUAUAUAGAGAGAGAGAGAGAGAGAAUUAGACUGGAAUACUAUUAAUAGUAAAACGNUAUAUAUAUAUAUAUAUAUAUAUAUAUAUAUAAAACUAGGCUAGAAUACUAUCAAUAGCACCAAGUGAUAGCACCAAGCUAUUGGUGCUAUUGAUUUUUUAACCCUUAGAAUGAGAAAUGAAUGGUCAGGAUGAUGUGGGCCCCCUAGGGUUGAGUGAGUGGUUGGUUGAAUAGUAUAAUCUAACGGAUAAAAAUAAUCAGACGGUUAAAUCUAACGGUGGAAAAAUCGAUAGCACCAAAUCCUUGGUGCUAUCGCUAGUACACCAGCUGGACUAUAUAUAUAUAUAUAUAUAUAUAUAAUAGAUUGCCUACAGGCUGUUACUUAAAAUAAAUAAAUAAAUAAAACAAAACAAAAUGCACGCAUGGGGGAAGAGGGAUCAACAUAUAUAUAUAUAUAGUAGAGCUAGAAUAUUUUCAAAAGCACCAUGAAAUUGGUGCUUUUGAGUUAUGAGUCAUUGGAUGGAGAGAUGUGAGGUCGAGAUGAUGGUGGUAGGUAGAAUAGUAUUUGAUCCAAGUGCUAUUAGUAAUCAAGAGGUAGAUUCAGGGGAUAAAAACCUAAUAGCACCAAGAGGGUGAUAUUUGUAAAAAUAUUCUAGCUCAAUUAUAUAUAUAUAGAGUUUGACUGGGCAACUAUCGGUAGUAAACUGCUCGGUUUACUACCAAUUUAUUUUUGAUGAUAGAGCUUUCAAAUCAACAAUCGGUAUCGUUGAACAUGAUCUAGACUAUUUAAAUUAUCUAGAAAUCAAAUUUUAUAAUUUUUUGGUAUCACUAACUGAACGAUCGGCUUGUGAGGGGUGCAUGAGUCAUUAGCUAGGUAAAAACUUGGUGGUGGGUGCAUGAGUCAUUAGCUAGGUGAAAACUUUUUGUUGAGCAGGUAAUUAAACUGGCUCGAAUUCCCAUCCAACACGCUGCGCUUUGCUUUCCCUUUUUCUUUUUCUUUUUUCCUUUUUUUUUAUGUUCUCUUCAAACAAAAACAAUGAAGAUGAAAGGCACGAUAGGUGAAAGAGUGGGAAUGUACCUUUUAAUAUUUUAUUAGUACAAAUGCAUGCUUUAAUUGACCACUAACAAAUGGCUCUGACACAUGAGAUUAUCAUAACAUGUGAAGAGAGAUUCAUUGAGAGUAGGGGGUCUAGUGACUCAUACCUACUUAUUCUCUUCACUCAGCAGCACCUUCCGUGCUUUAUUCAUGGAUGCAAGAAUCUUUGUUGGAAUGAAGGGACGUGUCAUGCAUCUUAUGAACCUGCUAAAGAACAAGGGAGAGAAAGAAAAAAAAAAACAAGACACUUAAAAGGCCAAAACAUAAUUAAGAGGAAAUUAAUGCCACAUAUAUUACCAGAUAUUACACACAAAGCACUCACUUUAGGAUAUUAUAUAUAUAUAUAUAUAUAUUAGUAAUCAAAUAAUUAAACAGUAUUUUUUUUUUCCGCCCCACAUUUGCUGAUCCAGAUAAUUAAUCCUGGCAGAUAUAAUACAAAGUUAUACCUAUAAUUAAAUUACAUUAUUUCCAAACCUAAAACAUAUAACACAUGGGUGCCCAUACUUCUUUCCUUUUUUCCUCCCUCCAUUAUAGUUAGACCACGGUGCAAUGCCUACAUGAAAUAGGGUCAUCAUCUCCCCAUUUAUCCCUGCAAAUUAAAAGGAGAAGAAGAAGAAGGAGGAGGAGAAGAAGAAGAAGAGAGAGAGAGAGAAAGAGUAAAAAAGAGACUUUGGGCUCUCUAGGCUAACUUUGGUCAGACACACCUUUUGAAGCCAACCUAAAAAGAAGCUUCACAAGUCCAUAGUGAUGGGAACAAGAAACAAAGGAAACUAAAAAUGAAAGGUAAUGAAAUGGAUAGAAGUGGAACUCCAAAUUAAGUAUCUGUGUGCAGUUAGUCCCUUAACAAACUCCAAAGAAAUCAUUAGCCAACUCAUAAGAUCACACCAAAUUAAGUAGACAAAUAAGCAUGCAAAGCUCUCUUCCUCUAUCAUAAUAAAGACUCCUUUUACUUAAAAAAAACUGUUCCUACCAUGAUCCUCCUCCUCCAUGUAUCAUACCAUUCCAAAACCCAGGAGGAUCCCCACUUUGCAUCCUGCUGUGCUCGAGCUCACCACUAUUUGAAGGCACAGCUGGUUUUAAGUCCUCAAAGGGGAAUAGGAGCCUGCUCUCCUGCAAUGAGCUCUCAUAGUUACCAGUGCCACCCACUGUAGCAGCAACCUCUCCACCACCACCACCACCACCACCACCACCACCCACCCCAUGAUCCAAAGGGAAACCAAGAGUGGUGGGUGGCCUAAAAUCAUGCAGGAAACCUAAUCCACCUGGGUACUCCUGUAAAGGCAUGGGCACAAACGACCCUACUCCUCUGGAAGAACUUAUCCCACUCCUCAGAAGCUCCAUGGCAGAGAAGGCACCAACAGUACUGUUUGCAGUGUAGGGGUUGUUCCUGCUGCUGCCACUGGUGUUAAUGUUGAUGUUGUUGGCGGUGGUGGUGGUGUUGCAGCUACUGUUGUUUGGGAACUCAGUGUACUCAUGAGGCAUGCUGUGGUAGGGGAAAGCCAAGUUGAGGUCCUGGCUUUGGCUGAACUUUAUGUUGUGAGAGGGAGAAGAGAGGGAGAUGUCAUGGGUCAUGAGCUUCUUAUUUGAGUUGUUGUUGUUGUUGUUGGUGGUGGUGGUGGUGGUGGUGGUGGUGGUGGUGGUGGAGAAGGAGGUGGAAGGUGCAGAUGAAGAUGAUCUCUUGUUCUUUCUCGAGCCACCACCAACAGGGACAUUUCUGAGGGACCCGCCCUCAGUCCAAUACCUCCUACACGUUUUGCAAAAGUACCUGGGUUGGGUGAGGCUAUAGUUGUUGUAGUAGCAAAACUUGGUGUUCGUGGAGUUGCACCUAGGGCAAUUGAGAGCCUUCUCCUUCUGUGGCCUUGCCCUCCUCUCCACCAGCUGUGCCGGCGGCCUGGAGGCUCCGCCGGCGCCGGAGGCGGCCCCGCUGCCAACCCCGGCCAUCAUCUCCUCUAUGGGCUUCACAAGCCCUAGCUCCUGGAGAAACCCGCAUCCCACAAAAGAAACAGAUAGAUAUGAAUAAUUAGCAAAGAAGGAUUAGUGUUGUAGACAUGUAUUUGUAACCAAGCUAUAUGUGAAGAAUCUGUUUAUGAAAAAGAAAAAAAGGCACCAAGCAAAAGAAUACAAAAGGAAAUGGCCAAGGAGAGAGAGAGAGAGAGAGAGAGAAGAGAGAGAGAGAGAGAAAAGAAAAAAAAAAAAGAAAAAAAAGAAAAAAAAAGGAAGAAAGGUAGGAGGAGAGGUGAGGAAACUACAUGUGUAAAAGACGAAAGAGAAACCACUCACCCUCCAUAGCCUAGAAUUUGUACAUCACAGGAACAAUUAAAGCCACCCUUUUCAGGCCACUGCAUGCCUUUAUUGCAUAAGAUGAAAGCAAAAGAGAAGAGAGAGAGAAAAAAAGAAAGAGAAGGAGAAAAAGGAGGAAAAGAAAGGUGGGGGAAAAAAAGGUGGUGUGCUCCUUUCAAGGACUAAAGGAGUGGGGGAGUGACAGGAAUUAAAAGCCUUAAAGCUAAAGAAAAGGUGAGAGAGAAGAGAUGAUGCAGUUAUAUCUAUUGAGAGAUGAUCUAGACGAAAAAAAAAAAAAAAAAAAAAAAAAAAAAAAAAAAAAAAAAAAAAAAAGGAGAAAAGAAAAGAGGAGCCACACCUUCCCCCCCUCCUCAUAUCAACCGAAAAUAGAAAAAGAUCUACAGCAAAUUGAUCACGAACCACAAAACAAAAUCCAACAAAAGAAAAAACAUCUCAAAAAAGUUCACACAACCCAACACAAAGAAAAAGCACCAAGAUCAAAAAGAUUAACUACCCAAAAGAAGACAAGAAUAAAACAGAUGCCAAAAAAAAAAAAAAAGAAAAGAAAAACAACAAGAUCCAAGACCCAGUUAAUUACUAGCUAGCUACCAAGAUCUUUUGUUUCUAGGUUUUCAAUACCUGAUGAGGCCACUGGGUUGUGUCCAUGGAAAAGCUUUAUAUAUAUAUAUAUAUAUAUAUAUAUAUAUAUAUAUAUAUAUAUAGCCCUUGUGAUCCAAAGAAGAGAAAUAGUUAUUCUCCUCAAAAGAUGAAGAGGAAGAGAGAGGAGAUCCUGAGGAGGAAGAGGAAGAGGUGGACGCAAUUAAUCCUCUCCAGGAAAGAAUGUCUAGCUAGCUAUGGUUGGUCUGAAUAGAAUUCCGAGGAUGUAGUCAUGACUCUCAUAUCUGAGGAGAGGGGGUGGGGGUGGGGGAAGAGACAGAGAAAUUGAUAGAUGGAAUUUUUUAUAAUAUAUAUUAUUCCUACUUCUCAUUAAACAAUUAUAAAAAAAUUUCUAUUUGGGUAUGCGUUUGUCUAUCGCUGCUGGCUUGUUAGUGUGCGCUUAUAGACAGCGUGUUAGUUUUCUCUGAAUAGAAAAUAGAGAGAAAAAAAGAAAAAAAAAGCAAGUAAGGAGCUGUGCAGUGUUGUGGAGAAAUUACGCAGUCUCUGUAUUUGGACAAUAAAAUUGUGCAAUACUACGCAAAACUCGUACAAUUGCGUGGCACUACGUCCAUAUAUCUGAAAUAUUGUGGAAAUUGUGCAAUACUGUGCAAAACUCGUGCAACUGCGUACGUAACACCGCGUCUAUAUGUCUGAAAUAUUGUGUUUAAUUUCUUUGGCCUUUUAUUGGAGCCUUUUUUUAGAAUUUUGUGUAAUUAACUUAAAUAGAUGUCAUUUUCUGUUGAGAGGGUUGUGCAUGUCUAGAAACUUAUGUACGUAAUUUCUAAAUUGGUAUUUGUCGGAUCUUUAACGCUAAUUAUUAAUUAAUCUCAAAAAUUAAAGCUGUUAGUAAUACAUAACUAAUUUACUUAAAGUGUACAGACAUAACGCCUACAGAUUAUGGUUGUGACUCAACUAAACUAGCCUCAUGUCACUUCGAACAUGAUUCAACCCAACAUAACCUUCGACCAUUUCGAACGUGACUCGUCCCAACUUGUUCGCCCGCCACAAGACAAGAUACUGGUCUCUUUAAACCAACAAUAUUGAGUCUUGCGCUAUUUUAGAGAGUUUUGUGGCAAAACAUGUUAAAAGUAUAUAUAUGUACUAAUUCGUAUGAAACGAAAAGAAAGGUAGCUUUUAUUUUUUACUUUUUUAUUUUUUAAAUUAAGGAGUUCUUCUUAUACCUUACUCUUAUCCUUUUGGUUGAUUCUUUAUGGAAGAAGAGUGUUACUCAGCCAUGGUGUUGGUAGAUACAUACCGCUUGGCCGGUGACGGAGUUAGGUUGUGUUCGAACAUGGUGGAUUCUAAGGGCUACAUGCUUUUCCGGCACGCAUGUACUGCCUUCGCUAGCUAGUCCUCUGAAUAUCCGGCUUCACACGGGAUCAGGGAGAGAGGAUGAGUCAUAAGAUUCAAAUAGUGCUAGAUAAGUUGAGAAAUCAUGUGUUUUGGUACUUUGUUUACAUUCAACAAAUAUUUAGAAUAUAACAUAGGAAAAGAAUAAGAACUUGCAUUCACAUGAAUAGUUGAUGCUAAAUAAAAUUGUGAAAAUUAAGUAUUGUAUUCUAAAUACAAUGAGAGUCGUCUUUUUCAAUCUGAACGCUUUGUGUGAGCCUGACAAAAUUGGCAUGGUAAGGAAAUUAUCAAAAUUCCAAACAAUUAAUAUUCUUACAUACAAAAAUAAUAACCAAAAAAAAAAAAGAUUUACAUGUCUUAGAUUGGGUGGUUUAAAUUUAAUUAGUUGUGAGUUGCGCGCUUAAUUAGCAAGCGUAAUCGGCCGGUUUGGUCGUUGAAGGAGCCGACCACGGAGAAGUGGCAGGUCCCACACGUGUGAAGGACGCCUUGGCACGUGCUCCCGCGUGGAGGAGCCAGCUACUCUGGGGCCCGAAGUGGCCCGGGCCCCACCUCCCUCGUUAGUGCGCAUAUAUGAAAAUCAUGUGGUGCAAUAUUAGAGAGAUCUAGAGAGAGAGAGAGAAAGAGAGAGAGAGGGAAUAUAAAGAAUAUGGCAAGGUGUAGUGGAACAGUCGAUGUUGUUGAAUAAUAUUGUCGUUUGAGUGAUUUAGUUCCUUUCACAUGUUAGGAGUCAUAAAAAACAUGGGUGGUGGCUCUCUUGCCUCCAUCUUACUGGGCCUAGAACUAAAUUAUUAUAUUAUUAAUAACAUUAAAUUAUUUGUGCUAUUAGAAUUUUAAUUUUUAAAUAAAGAAAUGUACCGUUAGAAUGGUAGUAAUUCUCAAGAGCUGAGUGGGAUGGUUGAAUAGUAUAAUAUAAUUGAUGAAAAUGAUUAAAAGAUAAAUCUAACCGCAAAAAAUUUGAUAGCACUAAGCACUUGGUAUUACUAAUAGUAUAAUAGCCGUACUCAUAUAUAUAUAUUGAUAAUCUGAAUCGACGAUCGGUAUCAUCCAAAUUAACACUAUCAAACCAUUUAAACUUUUUAGAAAUUAAAUUUUACGACUUAAAAAUACCAUUUGCAUAAUAAUCAAGUAGUUUCAAGUUCACUUUAUAUUAGCUAUAAAAAAUUAUUAAUUUUUAGAUCAAUCAAAUGCUAGACAAAUAAUAUCGUAAAAUCGUAAAAAAUUAAAGCCGGAAAUAGCACGGUCUCAUUUACUUUUAAAAAUAUUCUAAUAUUUCUCCCUCUCUUUUAUGUGCGUGCGUGUAGCUAACUUCUAAGAGCAUACUUUUUCAUAGUUCACGUUUUGUUCAACCGACAUUAUUUGUUAAUAAAUUUAAUUAAUGUACAUGGCGGUUCGUAAAUAAAGGUCAUAUAUACAAAGUUUGAGGCAAAUUUCAUAAGAGGACAGAAAGAAAUUGUACAUAAAGGGCACAUCUUUUUUUCUGGUUUUUAAUUGCUAUCUAAAACUAAAACAUUCUAUCGAGACCAAAAUGUCUCUCUCUCAAAAUUCAUUUGCGGCGCUCAAUAUGGCAAGGUGAUCGAUCCAUGGUUAUUAAUUAAUGAGAAAAUAAAACUCAAGAAUGAAAAUUUAGAUUAAAAGUGAAGAAAUAUUACUGGACCGAAUUAAUCCAAGAAUAAAGAGAAAAAAAAAAAAAGAAGAAAUUUUACUAACCGAACCUAAAAAUAAAGAGAAAAGAACAAUCAGACCGAACCCAAAAGUGAAUCUGAAAUGCAAAACCCACUCCUAAGAAUUAAGUUGGUGAUGCUACGGUAAAUUAUUGAGAAUUAAUAUAUAAAUAUAAAUACAUAGAGGUGUCCACUUUUAAAAAUGGAAGUGAUGAUGUCUCAUUUAUAAACUAUUGAAAAUUAAUAAAUAUAUAAGAUAGAUAUCAAUUACACUCAAAUUUAUAAAAUGAAGAAAAUAAUAUUGUGUCAAAUACCAAAUGAAAUUAUGAUUAGGGUUCAAUUAAGGAACCACAAGUAGAAUAUUCACUUUUAUGACCCUAAUUAAUCACGUCUCUUUUUCUUGUAGAGGGGGAGAUUUUGAUGUCUUAUACAAAGGGUCUAAUUAUAUAUGGUGGCCUCACCUUAAUUCUUUGAUCAAAUCAAUUAUGACACUGACCAGAGCACUCCCUUUUCAAUUUUAAAAACGCCGACCUCUUAAUUUCUAAGUUAAACAAGUUAUCAUAUGACUAGAGGAGGAAGUGAGAUCCUUAUCCCGCAUGUGGUCCCCAUCGUUACUAAAGAGUGGAGGGAGUGUUUAAUUUUUGGCCUGUAUUGCCUCAGCUAUUUUGUAUUGAGUGCAUAUUUAAAUUUAUAUUUUAGUAUAAAUAGAAGUUUGUUGGUUAUAUUUUAGUUCUUAUAUUUUAAUUUGUUAUAAUUUUCUACUCGAAUUUUUAGAAUUAUUGCAAUCAAAUCCCACAACACAAUUUAGUUAGCCUCUUAAUUAUUAACACAUUACCAAUCACAACAAUGUUACAUCACUUUCAUAUCUAUUAGCAAGAGUUAAGUUAGAAUACUAUUAACAAUAUUUGAACUUUUUUACUAUUAAUUUUAGCUAUUAGAUCUACACUUUAAUCAAUUUCAUUCACCGACCACUCCUAGUGCAAGUGACAAAGGGCUUAGUGAUUGGUACCGGAGAUCUCGAGUUUGAAUCCUAAUUGAUUCAUAUUUCCAACUAAGUUUAUUUUUAAAAAAAUAAACAAAGCGAGUAGUAUGCUGUCUCUCUCUCAAAAAAAAAAAAAAAAUCAUCCUUUAAAUCAUGCUAUUCAACCAACCAUUAAACCCUCUGGGACUACUAGCAUCCUAACCGUACAAUUUUCAUCCAAACGUUAAAAACUUCAUAGUAAAAGAGCCAAAAUACUAUGAAUAGUAUGCCAGCCCAAUUUGUAUUAACAAUAUGUCAUUAUUUAGUCAACUUAAUUGGAUUAUAGGACUUGAUUGUAAUAAUUCUAAUAGUUCGAGUCAUAAUUAAAUUGUAAUAAAUUAAAGUUUGAUAGUCAAAAUGUUACCCAUUUUGAAGGCCAGACGUGCAAUUUAUCUUGUAAAAGUUAAUUUUCUACCUUUAAAGAUUAGUUAAUUUACAUAAAAUUUUUCUAUAAAUAUUUGUUUUCUUUAUUUUUUUCUCCCUAACUUUUAAAAACUUACAUUGUACCCCCUCAACAUUUGAAUUGUUACAUUUAGUCCCCCUCAGUCAAGGUUCCAUUACUAUUUCGUUAAUUCCUUAUAAUUUAUACCGAAAAUAUCUUUGAAAAUAACAGAAAUAUAUUAAAAAAUUAUUUCUUUUCUUAAAAGAAGAAGGACAAAUUAGCUAUUUUACCCUCUCUAUUAACACCGUACUCCUUAAAAAUAUUUUUAAAAUUUUAAAGAGACAAAAUAUAGAUUUUUGAAAGUCCAAAAGGGAUAUUUACAUGAAAAUUUUUUGUCCUUUAGCCUUAAAGAUUAUGUAUGAUGAUAUAAGUACAUAAUAUAGAGUACAUAAUGCUGGAAAUACUUUAAAACCCUCUAAUUAAGCAGAUGAGUGGGACGAGAUGGAUAUCAAGUUUGAAAAGGCGAAUCACUGGUUAUUUAUUGUGUUAUUAAAGUUAGGCCAAUUUGCAUAAAAAAUCCACAAGUUUUGAGCUUUUGCAAAGGUGGGCCACCUUUUUCAAUUUUACAAAUUCGGGCCGAAUUUUUUGCCAUUGGACGAAAAUACUCUUAUUCAUUUUCUUUCUCUCCCUUCUUUUUUCUCUCUCUUUUUUUUUUUUUCUUCUCUAUGUUCUUCUCCAUUGCCCCCUCUCCCUCCCCUUCCACCCCUACCUCCGCCCCCUCCUCCGCCACUGACGCAGACGACGACAUCCUCAGCGUCGGCGUCAUCGUCGUCGAGCUCCUGCGUCCCUGCCGCGGCGCUCUCCAGCCGGAUAGGCAUAGCCCUAGAUAGGGCGGCGCUGUCGUACGUCGCGAAGCUCCGCAGCGGCACGCGCGAUACGGGGAUUGCUCGCGCUCGCGCUCGUUCUCGUGCUCGAACGGGAGUGGCGAAGGCGGCAGAGGAGAGAUAGGGAGAGGCUCAAUUUUUAGGAGAUUUUUGUCGUUAUGGUGUAAUGGUGUAAUGGUGUAAAAAAUAAGAAGGAAAAGGAAGAGGAGGAGAAGAAGAAAUGGUACAAUUCUGGAUGAAAUUAUGUAAAAUUUGGCGAAAUGGUGCAAGUUUGGACGAAAUGGUGCAAUUUUGUUUCAAAGAGGAUAAUUUUUAUUUUAAAGAGUGUAACAUUCACCUUAAAUAGUGUAAUUUUUUUAAAAAAAUAGUAUAAUUUAAUUGUAACAGUACAACCUUCAUCUUCUUCUUCAUUUUACUCUGAUUUUUUGCCUUGUCUGAUAAUAAUAACGAUAUAUAAUAAUUUUUCAACGAGACAAUUUUUUUUCUUUUUUUUUUUACUUUUUAUUCUUAUUUUUUUCUAUUCUCUAUAUCUUUGUUUGCUCUUUCUUCGAUGCCGGUGAAGGCGGAGGCGGAGAAGAGGAAAAGUAGGCGGUGUAGCUCUCGUUACCAUCACCGAGGACCGCCGGUGCCGGAGGAGGAGGAGAUGGAGGAAGAAGAAGCAGCGCCGGCCGCAUUACCAUCACUGUGGGCUGCGAAGACGGUGGAGGAGAAGGAGGAAGAGAUGGGGAGGGCAUCGCGAUGGGGAGGGCGAUCUGGAGCGCGUCCUCGAGAAGAAAAUAACGAAGAAAACAAAAAAGAGAGAGAAAGAAAAUAAAUAAGGAUAUUUUCGUCCAAUGGCGAAAAAUUCGACCCGAAUCUGCAAAAUUGAAAAAGAUGACCCAAUUUUACAAAAGCUCAAAAUUUAUAAAUUUUUUAUGCAAAUUGGCCUUAAAGUUAACUUAUAUAUCAGUUGCAUUUGAGGAUUAUUAUUUAACCUUAAUUGAAUGCAUGUCAACCGUUCCUAUUGUUCCACCAGUAACAUAUAUCUUUGCACAAAAUAUUUCACCAAAACUAGUUUUUUUCAGGUUUCUUGUCUUUUUUGUCUUUUUUUUUUUUUUCCCGAUAAUUACUCUAUCUCCGUCGAAAGAAUCUAGAGUACUGCUACAACUACUUUUCUAAUUAAUGAUCGACUUUUUCAUACGAGUCUUAUCACUUUUUUUAACCUAUUAAUACUAAAACUCAGAAGAAAGAAUUUUAUGAACUCUAUUAGAAGAGUUCGACUUUAAAAUGAAGGAUUAUAAUUUUGCACUUAUUAGAGGUUUUAUUCCGAACGCUGCAUAUAUAGGGGAAUCAUUAAAUACUACGUACUAUGGGGUGCAUUAAUGUGUGUUCUCGAUCUUAUACUGGUGGAGGGGAAUAUUAGUGUGCGGGUGGAGGUAGAGCCCCACCUUGACCUGACCCAUUAAUAUUUUGAAACCUUUUUUGAGAUUAAUGAACCUGUCAUGAUCAUGGGAGAAGCUUGGUUUAGACGGCUUUUCGACGGCUAUAAUUGGAAGAGGAAAUGGGGGUGGGGAGUGAGGCGUAUAUGAUGUGAUUAUUUAUUUUGUGCUCUCUCUCUCUAUCUCUCUCUACAACGCGUGAAUGUAGAGAGAGGGAAACAAUAUCACUAUUGAGUUAAUUAGUCAUUCAAAAAGGGCAAAAAAAGGGUACAAAUUAAUUAAUUAUGUGAAUUGUUAUCAUCGCCGAGACUAGCUCGGUUAAUUAAUCUAAUAAGUUAGGUGAGUCGUAGACCAACUGGUGAUUAUUUGUUCUCGCAGUGUCAUUCCAUUUCAACAAUCAACAUUCACACCGGCCGUCAUAGAGCAAGUGGCAAAAGACUUUAUGGUUGGUAUCCGAGAUCCAAAUUCGAAUCCUAGUUGAUUCAUAUUUCUAGCUAAGUUUAUUUCUAAAUGAAAUAAACGAAGCGGGUAACGUGCUACCUAUUUCUCCAAAAAAAAAAAAAAAAACAAUCAACAUUCACUAAUUCUAAUUAAAAUAUAUAUAAAAAUGAGUACGUCUAUUGCACUUUCAAAAGCACAGAGAUUUUUAUACUUAUAAAUUAUUUUCGGUUAUGGAAUACCAAUACAAUAAAAACGGUCUAUAGCGACACUUUUAAAUGUAGAUACAUAUUAAAAAAGUGCUGCUAGCUAAAAUUACCGACACUUUUAAAAAGUGUUGCUAUAUGUGGGAUCGCUAGGUAUAUAGUGACAGUUAAAGAGUGUCACUAUAACCUAAAAAAGUGUUGCUAAUUUACCAACACUUAUUUAAGCAUUUAACAACCGCAGAAACUCUAUCUCGUUGGCUGCGGUGGCGGAGGAGGACGACAGGAAAGGCUUUUCGUCUAGAAUUUCAGUGGAUUGAAUGAAGAGAGAAGAAAAGAUGGUAAUUGAUUUUUCUUUUUUUUUUCUUUUCAGUUUGUAAUCGGGCCAAAUGGACUGGGUGUGGUGGGUUGAGUAGAGUAAUCUUUUAUUUUUUGUUGGAUUGGGCUUUAUAUUUAGGCAUUAGUAGAUGUUUUUUUAAAUUUUAGCAUAAAUGGGACACUUUCUCAAAAGUGUCCCAAACAUGUGUCCCUAUAACCUAAUUCUGUUGUAGUGUACGAGAUUCGACGAUCGAUUUCACUCAGCGUGAACUAUAUUAUUAGAAUUAUUUAAAAAUUAAAUUUCAUAAUUUUUUGAUAUUAUUUACAAAGUUAUCAUAGGGUCUCAAAAAUGACUAUUUUUAUAGUUGAUAUGGCAGUUUCUAAAUUUAACGAUGUUGAACAAUCCAAAUUAAUUAGAUAAAAUUUUAAUAGACAAUUAUAUUUACAAUUAAAAGCAAGAUCAAUACUUCUAAUUUAAAAUUUAAGAUUAAUACUUUCAAUUUAAAAUUUAAAUUUUUUAUUAUUAUUUUUUAUGAAAUUUUUAUUUUCAAUCAUUAAUUUUAAGCCUACUCAUUUACUAUGCAAACGAAGUCAACAAAUUAUAAAUUUUGAUUUUUAAAUAGUUUCCACACUGUAGAUCAUGUAUAACUAAACUGAUCACCAAAUGGAAUGUUUCAUUAUCGAAAAAAAUUAAUAAGUGCGGAGGUCUCUGUACUUUCGAAAGCAUAGUUGCAUGCCUAGCUCUUAUAGAAUUGAAUGAUGAUCAGAUAACUAUAAUUAAUCAUUUAUACCAUGUAACUAAGCCAACCAAUUCAGUGCACCAUUCUAAUAUCACCAGACAAAUCACUCAGCCUCCGUUUGGUUCGGGGUUAAGGAAAAAGUAGCUAUUCCAGGGAUAGAGUUAAGUUCAUGGUUAAAAUGGGGUUAAAAUUUUUUUGUGUUUAGUUGGGGGUUGGAGUUAAUCUAAAAUAAUGAAAAAUAGUGUUUGGUUGGAGUAGGUGGGAUAAGAAGAUAAUGAUUGAUAAAGAAGGAUAAUGAUUGGUUGGAGUAGAUGUAAUAAGAAAGAUAGUGGGUUAUUAUGAAUAGAAAAUAGUGUUUGGUUAGAGUUUGGUGUGUGAGGCAUCAUCAGAUAGUGAUGGAGUAGAUUGGUGAGCAAUGUACCAGAGUUCCAUGAAACAGGCCUGCAUGAAUAGCAUCUCAUGCCAAAUCUCAUUCCCCAUCUUUGGCCCACAUGCACUGUGUUCAUAGUAAAAAGAGGAGAUAUAUAUUUAUAUAUGCUAAGUCUAUUGCUAAAAGAGAUUGGAAUCGUACGUGCAAUUCAUCUAUCCAAGGUUUGGGAAUGUUCAAUGUAAUUAAUUUUAAAAAUGUUAUUUGUCUAGUAGCUUAAGCUAUGAAAGAAAAUUAAUUAUAUAUUUUUGACAUGACUGAUAUAAAAACAAAAAGUUGUGUAUUUGAGUCAUGCCUAGCUCCUUGCCGGGUCUAUCAAAAAGUCUCGAGUGUAGACAUAUGGGAAAUUGUUGAAUUCACAUCCUUUAAUAGAGCCACUCAUUUUAAUUUGGAUUUCAGUGUUACAAAAAAAAAAGAACUUGAAAUCUCAGAUAUCAAGUAUCAAACAUUUUAUUACUUACACUAACGACGGUUGGUGAAACUUAGUCUUUAAUUAGAUGGCCAAGUUAUAGGAUUACAACUAUUUUCCGAUCAGAAUAUAAACCUAGCUAGCAUUGCUUUCAUUUCAAAUAUGGUUAAUUAAUAUCCUGUCAUUUAUUAUUAUGUGAAAAAGAAUUAAUUGAUUUACAUAUAGAGUUUAAGGUAUCAUAUAUAUAAAGUUAUUAAUCCAUCAAUAAUAAUAUAAAAUACGGUUUAUGACGUCGAUGUCCUUGAUCUAAAAUGACAUUUCUAAACACAAACAAUUGCAAUGAUCAUAAACACCAAGUUACAGGUGAAAAUGAGAGGCAACUACUACAUGACCAUUCCAUUUGCCAAUACGCACAAUCGAACAAGACGAGAGAAAGGAGACAAAAACAUCAAAACAUGCAUGGCUUCGCCUUCAAUUAAUAAUUACAUAGGUUAAAAUAAGUUUGCUCAUGAUGACAAUGGUGGCUGGGCUACUACCAUCAAAGACAUAUGUAGGUGGGAACUCAUCAGGAGAUGACAACAUAAAUGAGACGGGUUUAGGUGGAUUUGGAUUUUGUUCUUUUUGAGGGGAUUUUUCCAUUAACGGAUCAUUCACAAAAUUCCUUUUUUUUUCCUUUUGGUAUGUAGAAUAUAUAGGAUAAUAUUUUAUGUCUAUUUAUUAGAGAGAAAAGAAAUAGUUGUGUACAGCUCCGCUAUCAAAAUUAACAAGCAUAGUCCUUGACUCCUUGUGUCUCCACUAAGAAAUAUAUAAGAUACUAGUCCGCAUGCUCAAAUUGCAUUAACAUGGACAUUACAUUUUUUGGAGUGUCCUAAGGUUAGGUACAAAACUUAAUUUUUGAUGAUUUUCUAGUUGGGUCAGAAUAUAGCAUAGUUCCAAUAAAAGUCCAAUUAACCUGAUAUAUUUGUUAAUCCAUAUUUUUUUUUCAGAUAUUAAAAAAAAUAAAAGAUAACCUGAUAUGAGGUUAGUGAUCAAAUUAACGUGCUUAAGUUGCUUAGAAUAGUGAUCUUUGCGACCUAAACAGGGUUGUAGUACUACGACUUGGUCAUGUAAAGAUCAAAUUUUUUACGUUAGGUUAAUUAAUUUUUUUUUAUGAAUACUAAAAUCCAAAGAAAAAGGGGCUCAAUCCUAGGAGCCCGUUGCAUUUCUAAUUGGCACCCAAAUGUUGCCACUGUGAUAGGGAAGUAAAGUACACAGCAACUGCAGAGUUCCAAAUAACUUAUUAUAUAUUAUUAUUGUUUAUUUAUGAUGUUAAUAGGAAUUCUCCUACGCUAAUUGCACUCACGAAUAGCUCCCAAUUUUUUGUCAAAUUAAGUUUUAAUUUGGCUUCUAUUUUUUAAAUAAUUUAAAUCCGUCUGAACGUUUAAUUAUAUGUCAUACUGGUCCAUUCCAUUAUCCGAAUGCUUAAUAAAAUUAUAUUUUUACUUCUGAAGAGAACCACCGUUAAAUUUAUUUAUAAGAUUGUGAUGUAUAGAUACUAAAUCAACAUUUUCUUGACAAGAAAUUUCACUUCAAAAAGUUCUUUUCCGUGUGGAAAGAAUGCUUUUUUUUUGCUUCAUUUAUCUUUUUAAAAAUAAUAAACUUAGCUGAAAAUGUAAAUCAACUAGAAUUCGAACUUGAAAUUUCGGGUACCAACCACCAAGUUUUUUACCACGUGCGCUAGGAAUGGUCAAUAUGUAGAAAGAAUGCUUAAUUACUUAAAAUAAGGUUUGGAAUAAAAUGAUUUACCAUUCAUUUUAUUAGACAGGAAGAUGUAAUUUGUGUUUUUACUAUAUAUAUAUAUAUAUAUAUAUAUAUAUAUAUAUAUAUAUAUNAAAGUUUCCAGCCACAAUUUAUUGAAGAAUAGUACUGUUUUGGAGCCAUAUAACUUUCAUACGAAAUUUUAUAAUUUAGAAAAUUAGUAUUUAGAUUCUAAAUAUAAUUUUAUUUUUUUAAAAUUUAAAAUUUACAAUUCUAUUAUCUACCCACCGCAUCGCGCAGGUCUCUGCACUAGUAUAUAUAUAUAUAUAUAUAUAUAUAUAUAUGGAUUCAAAAAUUGAUUACCCCACAUUCAGAUGACUAAAUUGACCGAUUUGUAUAUACCAGAAAUUGGAGAGAGUAAAAUUUUAUUCGGUUAUUUUAUAUCCAAAUUUGCAAUUUCAUGAAUCACUUUGAUGGAUAUGUAUGUACGUACGUACGUACCAUAGACCAUGGAUUAGAAAAAAAUGUUCAUGAUUUAGUCUGUGUAAUUCCUACUAUUUCAGUAACUGAAACCACAAAAGAUUCUGACAAAUAUCGAAUACAGAUUGAGCGCAAAGUAUAAUAGUCAGAAUUGCUCUCAACUGAGUUUUUUUUUUCAUUUUUAACAAUAUAUAUUUUUAUAAUAAUAAUUCCUUAACCAAUUAAAGAAACGUAAGGUUAUGAUAUGUCCAUGGUUUAUAGUAGUGAUCAGUUGAAGAUGGUAAUCUGAAUGACAUAAUUAUAACUGAUUUUUCUGCUAGGUGGCUACUCUAUAUUGAAGAACUUUUUUGUUUUCUCUUUUAUAUAUAUAUAUAUAUAUAUAUAUAUAUAUAUAUAUAUAUAGAAAGAGAGCGCAUGACUACUGUGCUAUUAAGAGCACAACGCAAAGAUUAAAAAACUUGAUAAUAAAAAGGAACAAAUACUAUUAGUAGUAUUCAAGCGCAACUCUCUCUCUCUCUCUCUCUCUCUCUCUCUCUCUAUAUAUAUAUAUAUAUAUAUAUAGUUAGUGGAAGGAAAUUUUACCGAGUAAUUAAUGGAAUCACGUAACCUGUGGUACAUGCAUGGAAUAUAUGCAGCAUUUGCCCGUUAAUUGGUUCCACCUCAGAUCGAAAGGCAAUACAAGAGACUGUAGCCUCGCAAAAACUGAUCAUAAGUACUGUACAAUUAUUCCUGCUUUGGAGAAACAACCUGUAGAGCUUAACUUGUAUUAUAUUUCCAAAUGUUUAAACAAUAUGAAAUAAUUAUUCUCUUUUAAACUUAAUUAAAUUAUCAAAAUAGAUCGUUUUAAUAUAUAUACCUCUUAUUAUAAUACUAAGUAUGUUACAUAAUGUAAAACAAACUUCCGCCGCUAGAAAAUAGUAUUUUAAUAUUAUAUAUUAAACUAUAUAUAUAUAUAUAUAUAUAUAUAUAUAUAUAUAAAACUAGGCUAAUAUACUAUUAAUAGCACCAAGUCAUUGGUGCUACCAAGUUUUUGGCCAUUGGAUUAACAAAUGUGCAGUUAAGAUGAUGUGGACCCCCUAGUGUUGAGUGGGUGGUUGGUUGAAUAAUAUGAUCUAACGGAUGAAAAUGAUCAAAAGGGUAGAUCUGACGGAAGACUUGAUAGCACCAAAUACUUCGUGCUAUUAAUAACAUAGCAGCCGGACUCAUAUAUAUAUAUAUAUAUAUAUAUAUAUAUAUAUAUGCAUUUUAAGAAUUAAUAUUUAUGUAACUCUUUUUUAUUUUUUUAUGCUAUAUAUCCAAGUAUUCAAUACUAAAAUUUUCAAAGAUCAUCAUUGUUUUUCCUUUUCUUCUUUUUUUUUUUUCUUUUUAAGAACAAUACGUUUCGAUCGAAUCCCAUCAACCAAAUCCUUGGCGAAUUAAUUUUACUCACCUAAUUUCCACUAAUUCCUUCUCCAUCUUGUUGUAAGAAAAAGUCAGCGUAAUCAAUGACAAUCUUCGACAAACUAAACUAAACAUGGGUGCGGCGUUAGAGUGGAUUCAAACCUUCCACUCCUCUUUAUUCUGAUGUUAACAUCAAUAAUAAAGAAUGCAACAAACCGCAGAAAACGUACAGCAGGAGCACAAGCAACGGUACCUCUUUGGUCCUGUUCGAUGACUCGAAAAAGCACUUCGGGGGGAUGUGGAUGCUGCGAAGGUCAAACCCGGCGCCCAAUUCUUCUCACUGUGGUCUCCUUCUCGAGUGGAAAGUGGGACCCACUCGUGAGGCUAUUCGCCACCGGAUUAGGUACAGGAAAGGGUCGUAGUUUCACUGUUGGAGAGUCAAUUCCUCUUCUUCUUCUUUUUUUCCUUUUUUUUUUUUUUUUUUAAGAGACAAUUGUUUAUAUUCUCUGACUUUAUGAUUUAUCCAUUUUAGAAGGUUAAUGUUGAAAAUAUUUUUUUCAUGUUCCAUUCUAUUUCAAAUAUAUCACUAAAGUUAAAAUCUGUUAAUUAAUAAACUCUUUUGUCUCUAUAAAAUUACUAUUUUAUCCUUUUAAAUAUAUUUUUUUACCAACACCGACUUUUCUUAUUUGUCCUUAAGUUAGGGGACACAAAAAAUAUUUUCAAAGUUUUUGAGAAGUAUAUAAACAAUUAUCUUUUUUUUUUUAAGAUAACCUACGGUUUUAGUACCGAAACGGUAGACUGUGUGAUACUCUAGUCAUCAAAUUUUAAUUUAUCAUAAUUUUAAUUUAAAUACUUAAAAUCAUUAUAAUUGAAUUUUACAAUAUAAUUUAGUUAGCUAAAUUUUGACUGAUUAUUAACAUAGAAAUAAUAUCUAUAAAUACUGUGAUUUCAUAAUGCGAUAAUAUAUAUAAUAAGUAACUUGUUGAAGGACGGGCGGAGGUAAUAUUUGAUAUGUGAGGGGUGUGAAGUUGCUGCCUCACGAAGUGCGACUUCGCACCCCACCUGAUCACCAAAAGACACAAUUAAGCUUGUAUACUGGACUAGGAUCGGUUCAAUCACAUGCAUGUUUUUUUUUUUUUUUUUUUUUUUUUUUGGAGAGAUAGCAUUUAUUUUUUUUAAAAAUAAACUUAGCUGAAUAUGUGAAUUAAUUAGAAUUCGAAACUUAGGAUCUUAGGUAUCAACAACCAAGUUCUUUGUCACUUGCUUUAGGGACAGUCGGUAAUCACAUGCAUGUAUUGAACCAUCGAAAGCGAGGCUUUACACGAAAUCAGGCACGAGCUUUGCUCUCAACUGGAGAUUAAUAAACAUGCAGUGUGACCCUGUAAUAGCAAAUAAUGUAGGUCAAAAUCAGCUCGAUACUCUAGUACGAAUAUUAUAUAGGACAAAAUGAGUUUGAUCUUCAAAUUUAAUGCCAUAAGUCAUUAUUUUUUCAUUUUAUUUUUCUCUUGUUGAAGGGUUUUUUUUUUUUUUUCUUUUAAAGUGAUUGCGGGGUACAUUAAUCAUGAUAAGGAGGAGACGAAGCACAUGUCCAAUGAAAAAUCACAUCUUACAGUAACGAAAUGGAGAAAUUUGAUGACUAGAGAGUAUCACGUAGCUUACAUAAAUUUGAUUUUAUACCAAAUCCACUUCUUAGUUGGUCCUUCUCAUGCUCCUUGCAUCACAUGAUGCCGGCAUGUUGGUCAUGUACAUAUAUAUAUAGGGAGAGAGAGAAUAGAAUCACUAUACUCUUAUAAAUGAGUACGGAGUCUUUAAUAAUUAUAAAUCUUUUUUUUAUGAUAAAAUUUUCGAUGAUUCAUACUAUUAAAUAUGAUCUAGGACAUUUGAUGCUUCUAGAAAACGAAUUUCAUAAUUUUACAAAAAUAUAAUGAAGUCUAUCAAGCGAUUUUUUCAAUUUAAGAUCAGAAUUAUUCGCCUUUAUCUAAAUGGUGAAUUUUUUUUUAUAAAAAUACAACUGAUUCUUAUUCUUUUACACCGAAUAAUGUUAAAAAAUUAUAAAAUUUAAUUUUAAAAAAUUUAAAUGCUCUAAAUUAUAUUUAAUUAUAUAAAACAUUAAUUCAAAAACUUUAUUAUUGAAAAUGAUUUAUACGUACGAAAUUUCUGGUACUCAUAAAAAGUGUAUAUAUAUAUACACUUAAGGAACAGUAGGUUUUAAAUUAAGUUAAUUUGUGCGCAUCAGGUCAACAAUUAAAAGAGCCCGAUAGAUGGCGUCUUAUGGUGGGCAUCGCGAAAACAUUCAACUCGUUAGAAUUGUUGCAUCGAAAGGUUUCGUGACCGAGAAAAAUUUACUCUUGUACCAAGUAAAAUUACAUUGAGAUUCUAGAGAAUCAAUGGUGAAAGCGUGAGAAUUUACGUUACUAGUUACGAUUUCUUUUGACUAUCUCUGUGGGAACUCUUUUUAACCCAAGCGAAACUUGGAUUACAUUAGUAACCUCCUGUUCUGGAAAAAAAAAAAAAAAAAAAACCUGCUUAUAGGGUCUAAAGGGCUUAACUUAGAUCUUUAUAGUUAAUCUCUCUUUCUUUAAGAUUUGAGUUGGUGGAUUGAUCAACGGUAGUGAUCUUAGUCUCACUGGGGAAGUGGGGAGAGCACUCGCAUAGAAUAUAUCCUGGUUUUGAGUAUUCUCAUGUAAUAAUUUAGCAUGAAGCAUAGGAAGCAAUAAAUUUUGGGCUAGCCCAAGAUUGGAUUACGUGUGCAAGCACAAAUGGGCUCUCCCUCUGGGCCAAGAACAAUAUUUUGGGCUGCAACUGUUCCGGGCAUGUACAAGUCUCGUGGAAAUUAUUGCUUAAUAUAGUCCACCGCAUCAUACUACGAAUUUUUUCUUUUCCAAUGUUCUGUAUUACAUCUCAUAUAUACUUUCAAUCUUAAUAACAACAAUUUAAAACAAGUGGCAAAAGGCUUGGUGGCUGAUACCCGAGACCCAAGUUCGAAUCCUAGUUGAUUCACAUUUCCAACUAAGUUUAUUUCUAAAUGAAAUAAACGAAGCGGAUAGCGUGCUACCUAUCUCUCAAACAAAAAAAAAAAAAAAACAAUUUAAAACAAAACUUAUAGUCCAUGGCUAACAUGGUGGACUUAGUCCGAACAAUAAUUUGUCUCAAUUAUCGAAUGUCACAAGCGGAGAUGAAGCUAAGACUCAAUUAUCAGGAGAGGCCAAAAUACAUACAAAUCAAAACUUUAACAAAUAAACAAGAUUUACCUAAUCAAAUUUUUGAUGAGGAAAUAUGUUGACUAAAUAAUUAAUGUAAAAAAACGUUACCCUUUUUUUAUUUAUACUUAUUUAACUUUUAAUUAUUUUAUUUAAUAUUAUUUUACUCAAAUAACUUUGCAAUUUACUAAAUCUAAUAGUAAUUCAGUUAGUAAUCUAAUUUCUUGAUUUUUAGUAAAUACAAUUAUGACAAUUGAUGACUAUUAGUUGACAGAGCUAUUAAAUUUAAUAUAAUUUUUAUUUUAAUUAAAUAAAAAGAUUAUUUAAAAUAAUUAGAAGUUAUUAAAGUACUAAACAACAAAAAAAUAAAAAUAAAUCCAGAGUUGAGAGAGUACUAUAUUAGCGCUAAAAAUUUUUUUUAAAAGAGAAGUCAGUCCAUAUACUUUUGAGAUUAAAUAAAAAUAUAUCCUUUAAAUUUUUUAUAUGUAAAAGACUAUUAUGCAAAUUAUGAAAAGCCUGGGAGGGGUCAUGCCCUCCCUCAGGCUAUACAUAGCUCUGCACCUGGACUCACAGGUGGGCGCGAGAAAUUCCGAGUUUUCGGCUUGGUUUUUUUGCCCCCUCUUUUUGCGGUUUUAUUAAGCUAAAUUUUGCUAGCAAUCUCAGCCGGCGAGAGCCUAGUGUUAUCUUAUUCGAUAUGCAAUCAAUUUAAUGCUUAAAUUUCGACACCAUUUUUUUUGGGAAUUUUGUAGAUAUAUUGUCAUGUUUCUUCAUAAGGUGCAUUUGUCUCAAUAUUUUACAGGUUUAGGGAAACUCGGAUAUGCUCCUCAUGCAUGCCCAUAAUACGCCGACGUUACGGAAUUAAGCUCGGCCCAUCAGUUACUCUGUUGAAAAAAAAAAUGUCACUGGUAAAUUGUCACUGGUUUGGAUACUGACUCACUAUUCGACCGGUUCGAACGGUGAGGUCGACCCGGCCGGGUUUAUAUGUUCAUAGCUGUUUAUGUAUUUGUUUACUGAUUUUGAUAGUUGCCAGUAGGUUCUGUAAUCCCAAUCUAUUACUAUAGUAUCUGAGAAUGCGAGAGGAUCAACCCUGGCCAGUAAGUAUGUGCCCGUAGCCAUUUAUGGAUGAGUACCACUAGCCAAUUGAAUGCACAGAACGACCGUACCUUCUACACAUAACACGAUCUAACUCCAUCUCUCUCACGUCCUUCUCGCGUGAACUGUUCACAUAAUAUGGAUCUUUUCUCUCUCUCUCUCAUAUGAUGGUCCUACAACUCUUUUAUGGCCACCUGAGAUGAGCCAAUAUUCCUUUAAUUAAUUGUGAACACACCCCUCUCUCCAUAUAUAUAUAUAUAUAUAUAUAUAUAUAUAUAUAUAUAUAUAUAUAUAGAGAGAGAGAGAGAGAGAGAAAGAGAGAGAGAGGUGGACUGGGCUACUAUUAAUAUCAAAAUUUUAUUAUUGCUAUCAAUUUUUUAGCCUUUGAUAGAUAUUAAUCUUAUUUUAUAUAGUACAAAGAAUUUUCUAUCAAAAUUUCACUUGAUUUACCGUUAAACUUGCAACCGGCUCACCACGGCCGUUAAAAUUAUUGAUUUUGAGCCCCUUCGAUCACUAGGCAAAUGAUAUCUAAAAAUCGCAAAAUUUAUUUCUAGGUACUUCAAAUACUCUAGAUCAAGUCUAACGAAGCUGAUCGUCGAUUCGAAAGUCCGAACAUCGAAAACAAAUUGGAAGCACGGAAGCCUCCGUGCUUCCAUAAGCAUACUAGCCGCACUCUAUAUAUAUAUAUAUAUAUAUAUAUAUAUAUAUAUAUAUAUAUAAAGAGGUUAGGGCUACUAUGCUAUUAUGAGUAUAGAGUCCUUCAUACUUAUAAAUUAUUUUCAAUGAUGAAGCUUCCGAAUCGACGAUCCACUCCGUAAAUUAUGAUCUAGAGUAUUUAAAACUUAUAGAAAAUAAAUUUUGUAAUUUUUCAAAAUCAUAAUAAAGUUCAUCAAGCGGGUAUAAAAUGAACGGUCAAAAUCGAACGACGUCUUAAAAAUGGAUAUUCGGAUUCUUCAAUUUAGGUUCGGAGUUAUUGAUCUUUAUCAAUAUAGUGAAUAGAAAUUUCUAUCAAAAAUUCAACCGAUUUCAAUUCUUUUACACCGUUAAACUAUCAAAUAUCCCACACCGGCUGUUAAAAAUUGUCAAUUUUGUGACUUUUUGAUCGUAAGAUAAAUGAUGUCGAAAAAUUAUAAAAUUUGAUUUUAGACGUUUUAAAUACUCUAAAUAAUGCUUAACGGUGUGGAUCGUCGAUUCGGAAGCUCUAUCAUAAAAAACAACUUAUGAGUACGAGGGCGAUCGUACUCAUAAGAGUAUAGUAGCUAGCCAGACUCUAUAUAUAUAUAUAUAUAUAUAUAUAUAUAUAUAUAUAUAAAGAGAGAGAGAGAUAGUCCUGCUACAAUGCUAUUAAUAGUAUAAAGUAUUUAAUGUUAUCAAUUUUCUGUCAUUAGAUCUACUCUUUUGAUCAUUUUCAUCCGUUAAAUUAUACAAUUUAAUCAACUACCAACUCAGCCCUAGGAGACUACUACCAUCCUAAUCACACAUUUUUUUCAUAAAGAGCCGAAAACCCAACGGCACAAAUGACAUGGUAAUAUUAAUAGUAUUCUUGUCUAGUUACAUAUAUAUUUAUACACAUACAUCAUUGGUUGUAGUAUGAAGUUGUGACGCUAUAAUAUUUCCACAUCAGAAGGAUAAAAAAUUGUGAAUGAGAAUAUAAGAAUCAAAGGCUCUAAUAAUAUUAAUCGGAUUUAAAUAUUUGAGUUGGUAAUUUAGAACCCAACGAAUUAUUAUGUAUUGCUAGCGGGUUGAAGCAUUGCUAUAGUAGAGUAUAGUACAAAUAUCAAUUGAGUAGCGCCUAGUAAAAAAUAUAUAUAUAAAUUAAAAGAGUCGUGUUAUUUGCUCCAAACUUAGAUAGUUGGAAUACGGAAAAAAGAUUCUUAUUAAAUCGAUCUCUUCGAAAGAAUUUCUGAGCAGCAAGAAUAUAUAGAACCACUAAAUUAGAGCUUAAUUAUAAGUAAUUUUACAUCUCAGAACCUAGCUCGUUUCUGAUCCUCAUAACAACAAAAGUAUAUAUGAGAUUUUUCUAGUGAUCAAAGACUAUACUGAAUGCGACCGUUUGCGAAAAUAUAUAGACAUAGAUUAAAAAAGCGCGUACUUUACAAAUGUAUAUCUACAAAUCUACAAUGGUGUCCAAACGAUGCAACAUGCAAAUCUAUAGGCAUUGCAUUAAUAUAAAUCACACGGCCAUUAAUUUGUCUCACAACAACUGGAAAGAAGGCACUAGCAACCCAUCGACAGCGCUUCAUUAUCUGACAAAUAUUCGAUUUAUUUUUCCUUUUUUUGAGUGGGCACCAAUGCACAAACGUAGACAUAAAAAUAUUUUAAAACUAGCCUUCGAAGAGAUAAACAAUAAUUAAAGCUGGAUUAAUGCACGAAGGAACCAAAUUCUAAGACAAAAGGUAUAUUUACAACCUGAGCAAUAUCACCAUGCAUGUAUCACAAAAGGCAUUUUUUGGCUUCGUGGGUGUCUCCGAUCCUAAUGAGUGGCUAAGGGAAUCAAAACAUGCAUGUGGGAGCCAACAUGCCCACGUAUGUGUAUUGAAUAAUAUGUUACGAUUCAUAAUUUUUCAUUUAAAAAAAAAAAUUAGACAACAAAGAGAGAGCUCAUAUCCUUGAAUAUACUUACGGUUCUAGUGAAGCAUAUAUCUAAUGAGAUAUAAAAUAAUCGCUUAACACUCUCACAAUUAUCAUCCUCAUAAUAUAUGCUGACCUUUCUACAGAUGAUUCUCUACAACAUACUGUUGUCGUUCGAAAUUAAUUAAUGAAACAAAUUUAUUUUGCGUUUGUUAAAAUCGGAACGGCGAAAAAUAGAUCCAGAAAAUAACUUAAUGCAAGAAAAGAAAAGAUAAGCGGAAAGAACACACCGAUAUUUACGUGGUUCGGCCAACGGCCUACGUCCACGGGCGAAGACGGAGCAAAUAAUUUAUUAAUGUCGAAAAGGCGGAGUACAAGGAAGAUCUCUCAAAAGACCAAAGCUUAAUUAGAUCCGAAACGCCGCAACAAGAAACUCCAAUUUUGGCUUCUCUCUUACCUAUCCGUACGGACCAAAUAAAUUUGGCCUUAAUUAGCGCAUACGGCUAAUUAGCGCACACAGCUCUCUGCAACGGUUAAUUAGAGUUGCGGCCUCUCUCCUCUUAGCCGUACGGACCUCACAACAAGCUAGACAUAAUUAAUGCUUGGCUUCUUAAUUUCGUCGCGGCGGCUUCUUGCUCGUCCGGAACCAACAUGCAUUGCUUGGCUUAAUUAGAACGUGGCAUCUUAAUUUGGUCGCGGCUUCUUUAAUUUGGCCGUAGCAUAUAUUUAUAAUACAUGUCUCCUAACUAGAGUCUAAUUCUAAUUAGAUUAGAAUUACACUCCUAAUUAUAAUCCAUAUAUGCCAAAUUAAAUCUAAAUAAUAUCUAAUCCCAAUUAGAUUAGGAUUUAUCCUCAAUUUAGAUAACUACAAAUCUAAACCAAAUAUAACAAUCUCCACCUUGGUUUAAUUUGUAGUUUAGCCGUCGCUAUGUCGAGAUCGCCACAAAACUCCACCUUGAAUUUAAUUCGCCUUAAUACUCCUUAACGCUCCGUGCUCCGUCUUCUCCAAACGCCCCAUAGGGCCUCAAGUGCUGCUAACUGCCACCAAGUCCAAACAAUGUUUGAACUUGGCAAAAGUAAGGGACUUAGUAAGCAUAUCCGCCGGAUUGUCUUCAGUACCAAUUUUCUUAACUGUCAAUGUGCGUUUCCCAAUCACAUCCCGAACAAAGUGGAACUUUACAUCGAUGUGCUUUGUCCUCUCAUGAAACAUUUGAUCUUUAGACAAAUGAAUAGCACUUUGACUGUCCGAAUAAACAAUCGUCGGAUCCCAAUAAGAAGUAAGCUCUCCAAAUAAGCCUCUUAGCCACAUAGCUUCCUUCACACCCUCUGUCAUAGCAAUAUAUUCCGCCUCCGUCGUAGACAAGGCGACAAUAGGUUGUAGUGAAGCUUUCCAACUAACUGCACAUCCGCCAAUAGAGAAAACAUAACCUGAAAGUGAUCUCCUCCUAUCCAAAUCACCUGCAAAAUCCGAAUCAACAUAUCCAACCACACCAUCCUUACACCUCCCAAACUCCAAACAAGUGUUAGUGGUACCUCGUAAGUAUCUCAAAAUCCACUUAACAGCCUGCCAAUGAGCCUUACCAGGAUUGGUCAUAUAUCUGCUAACCAUGCUCACUGCGUAGGAGAUGUCCGGCCGUGUGCAAACCAUGGCGUACAUGAUGCUCCCGACAGCACUAGAAUAGGGAACAUGUGACAUGUACUCCCGCUCAUCAUCGGACUGCGGUGAUAACUCGGCGGAAAGUCUGAAAUGCGCCGCAAAAGGAGUGCUCACUGGUUUUGCGUCUGUCAUCCCGAAACGCUUUAAAAUCUUCUCUAUAUAUUUCUCUUGUGUCAAAUGCAGUAGUCCUGACUUGUUGUCCCUCUUAAUUUCCAUACCAAGGAUUUUCUUAGCAGCACCUAGAUCUUUCAUCUCAAACUCACCCUUAAGUAAAGCCUUCAAUUUAUUUAUCUCAACUAUGUCGCUGGAAGCAAUUAACAUAUCAUCGACAUAGAGCAACAAAUAUAUGAAAGAUCCCUUAUCAAGCUUUCUGAAAUACACGCAACUGUCACGCUUGCUUCUGGAAUAUCCGUGACCUGUCAUAAAGGAGUCGAACCGCUUAUACCAUUGUCGAGGAGACUGCUUUAAGCCAUAAAGCGAUUUCUUUAACAGGCAAACAUGGUCCUCCUUCCCUUCAACAAUGAAUCCCUCCGGCUGUUUCAUAUAAAUUUGCUCCUCAAGUUCUCCAUGCAGAAAAGCUGUCUUAACAUCAAGCUGCUCAAGAUACAGGUCAUUCAUGGCUACUAACGAUAAAAGAACACGAAUAGAAGUAUGCUUUACGACGGGUGAGAAAAUAUCAUUAAAGUCCACACCUUCUACCUGACUGUAGCCCUUAGCAACUAAACGAGCUUUAUACCUUGUAUCUUCCACGCCGGGGAUUCCGUCCUUUUUCUUGAAGACCCACUUACAGCCGACAAUUUUCUUGCCUGUAGGCGGUUUUACCAACUCCCAUGUGCGAUUCUUAUGGAGAGACUCCAUCUCCUCAUUCAUCGCCACCAACCACUCUGCAGAACUGGCACCGGAAAUAGCUUGAUUAUAUGUCGAAGGUUCACCUUCUUCUUCUGUAUCUUGUGCCACUGAAAGAGCGUACGCAACCAUAUCUUCAUAACCAUAUCUCUGCGGUGGUUUGAUCUGUCUCCUCGCUCUGCCUGUAGCAAUGCUCUGCCUCUCAACUUGUGGGGUUUCAGUUACUGAGGUGUCUGCCGACUGAACUUGUUCUGACUGAGAAGAAUCCUGUGACUGAACUAUACCAUCGGUCUCUACCUCCACCUGCUUGCUAGCACUCGGGGUCUCAUCAGAAGAAUUACGGUUAGGAUAUAACAUAGCAGAUUCAUCAAAUGUGACAUCCCUACUAAUAAUUAAUUUAGACGAUUCAGGACACCACAAUCUAUAUCCCUUAACCCCCGAUGCAUAACCAAUAAAAAUGCACUUUUUAGCCCUAGGUUCUAACUUGCCUUCAUUAACAUGAACAUAAGCAGGACAACCAAAUAUUCGCAAAUUAGAAUAAUCAGAAGGGCUACCAGACCAUACCUCCUCCGGAGUUUUGCAAUCAAGUGCUGAAUGUGGAGAUCGAUUCACCAGAUAGCAUGCCGUAGAGAUCGCCUCUGCCCAGAAACUCUUCGCUAAGCCAGCAUUAGAGAGCAUACAACGGGCCCUCUCCAAAAGAGUUCUAUUCAUCCGUUCGGCCACCCCGUUCUGCUGUGGAGUAUGCCUAACGGUUUUAUGUCGAACGAUCCCUUCCUUCUUGCAGAAUUCUUCAAACUCUGACGAACAGAAUUCCAAACCGUUGUCGGUCCUUAAUCGUUUGAUCUUCUUUUCAGUUUGCUUCUCAAUCAUGACCUUCCACUGCUUGAAAUAAUUGAACACCUCAUCCUUACUUUUCAGAAAGAACGCCCACACUUUACGAGAAUAGUCGUCAAUAAAAGUCAACAUAUAUCUAGCACCACCAUGAGUAGGAGUACGAGAAGGUCCCCAAAGAUCAGAAUGGAUGUAGUCCAGAGUACCUUUUGUUCGGUGAACUGCGGCCUUAAAGCUGACUCUCUUUUGUUUGCCAAGAACACAAUGCUCGCAGAAGUCCAACUUUUCUAAACUCUGACUACCAAGUAAACCUCUCUCGCCCAACUUCAUCAUACCAUAUUCACUCAUAUGGCCCAGUCGCAUAUGCCAUAAUCUGGUGCUAUCCGAAUCUGACAUAGAAGAAGAAGUCACCGCUGCUGAACCUGUCACAGUGGAACCCUGUAGAACAUAUAACAUGUCGGACAACUUGGCCUUCAUCACUACAAGAUUCCCUUUAGCGACCUUCAUUAAUCCAUCAGCUGAAGAAUACUUAAAGCCUUUAGUAUCAAGUGUACCCAAUGAGAUCAGAUUUUUCCUCAUAUCCGGAACAUGCCGAACCUCAGAUAUAGUCCUCACUACUCCAUCGAACAUUCGUACCCGAACAGUGCCAAUUCCAAUAACUGUGCACUUAGAGUGAUUUCCCAUCAAUACAUCUCCACCUUCAAUAGGCAUGUACGUCGAGAACCAUUCUCUAUGUGUACAGAUAUGAAAAGAACAUGCGGAGUCCAUAAGCCACUCAUCCUGUCUGCGUGUCUUAUCCGUAACUGUAAAGACGAUAUCAUUUUUAUCUGAUUCUCCUGCUGCAACACUUGCUUCUGCUUCAGUAUUGGUGUUUUUCUGACUUUGAUUUUUAUCACCGUUAUUCUUCCGCUGCUCUUUAUUUUUCAACUUGAAACAAUCAGCUUUUAUGUGACCCUUCUUCUUACAAUAACCACAAAUCAGAUUCCUGUGCUUUGACUUUGAUCUAGAUGUACCUCUAUUACCGGAACCCUUCUCCCGAGACCUCCCUCUAGCGACCAAACCUUGUCCUGAAGCUCCACCUGUCUCGUUGCUUAUCUGCAUGUCAAUUCUCUCUUUUGAAAGUAAAGAGGAUUUAACAUCAUCGAGACAUAGAGUAUCUCGUCCAAACAAGAAAGUCUCACGAAAAUUCUUAUAAGAGGGCGGUAGAGAACAUAAUAAUAAAAGGGCUUCAUCUUCCUCCUCGAUUUUAACAUCUAUCGAGCGGAGAUCCAUAAUAAUAGAAUUAAAUUCAUCUAAAUGCGACUUAAUAGAGGUACCUUCCGCCAUGCGCAACAUGAAGAGACGUUGCUUCAAAUAUAACUUGUUGGUGAGAGAUUUCGUCAUAUAGAGAGACUCCAAUUUAAGCCAAAGCCCUGCAGCGGUCUUUUCAUCCAAGACCUCGCGCAAUACCUCAUCGGAUAAACAUAAUUGUAUUGCCGUAAGAGCUUUAUCAUCAAUCUCCUCCUUCUGCUCUGCCGUUAACGAAUCGGACAUCUUUUCUUUUCCCAACAGUGCCUUCUGCAAUCCUUGCUGCGUCAAUACUGCACGCAUCUUGACUUGCCAUAAUGCGAAACUGUUGGUCCUGUCAAAUUUCUGAAUCUCGAACUUCGUCGUCAUCUUAAUCCUCAAAGGGAAUAGAAAGGCUCUGAUACCAGUUUGUUAAAAUCGGAACGGCGAAAAAUAGAUCCAGAAAAUAACUUAAUGCAAGAAAAGAAAAGAUAAGCGGAAAGAACACACCGAUAUUUACGUGGUUCGGCCAACGGCCUACGUCCACGGGCGAAGACGGAGCAAAUAAUUUAUUAAUGUCGAAAAGGCGGAGUACAAGAAAGAUCUCUCAAAAGACCAAAGCUUAAUUAGAUCCGAAACGCCGCAACAAGAAACUCCAAUUUUGGCUUCUCUCUUACCUAUCCGUACGGACCAAAUAAAUUUGGCCUUAAUUAGCGCAUACGGCUAAUUAGCGCACACAGCUCUCUGCAACGGUUAAUUAGAGUUGCGGCCUCUCUCCUCUUAGCCGUACGGACCUCACAACAAGCUAGACAUAAUUAAUGCUUGGCUUCUUAAUUUCGUCGCGGCGGCUUCUUGAUCGUCCGGAACCAACAUGCAUUGCUUGGCUUAAUUAGAACGUGGCAUCUUAAUUUGGUCGCGGCUUCUUUAAUUUGGCCGUAGCAUAUAUUUAUAAUACAUGUCUCCUAACUAGAGUCUAAUUCUAAUUAGAUUAGAAUUACACUCCUAAUUAUAAUCCAUAUAUGCCAAAUUAAAUUUAAAUAAUAUCUAAUCCCAAUUAGAUUAGGAUUUAUCCUCAAUUUAGAUAACUACAAAUCUAAACCAAAUAUAACAACGUUUAAUUGCAUAGAUGUUGCAUUCUAAACCUUCAUAAUUUGCAAAAAUUAAUGUGACCCUUGCCUCUAACAAAUAGCAAGUACCAAAAACAACUUUUACGACUAGCUAUGCUUGCGUGCUCAUUUCCUUGAUUUUUUACCUUUAAGCUAGAACCAUUGAUUUGGCAAAGAAGAUAAAAAAUAAAUAGAAUUUGACCCUUUAGAAUAUAAUGAAAAAUGUUAAUUCAUGGAAUUAUGGAAGCAUGCAUGGGAUCGACUGUAAUAUCGCAUUACCUAAAAGAUCGAUCUUAUAAUUAAAAAGCAGUCAAAAAAUAUAUUAAACAAUAUUUGAAAUCUCUGUUACUAUACUGUUGGUCCACAAUCUUAAUUUCCCUGUUAGUGGCACCGCCACGCGCGUAGCUACUCACUGUUGACUGUUUGCACGAAGAUAUAAACAAAGAUAUAUGAUGGGAAUUAGUAGAUCAAUCAAUCUGGCCCCAUAAACUCACGGAUCUUCCUUAUUCAGUUUAAUUUUCGUAUAAGAUACUAUUUACACUAGGAUCAGUGAGCUAGGAUCUAGCAUACUUUCAUAUCAUGUUAAAUAACCGUUUUUAUUAUGAAAAUUUUGAGCUGUUAGAGAACGGUAUUUUUAAUAUGUUCAAUAGUAAUCACAUGAAUAUCGUUUCGGCAUCUUAGUUUGUCGUUACUUCAUACCAUCGCAUAGUAGACGUUGUUUACUUCUGAAAGUGUAGAAUAUAAGGUAUUCUACUCCCUACAAGCAGAAAUUAAUGAAGGGUUUCUAUGUUAGGUGUCCAUUGAAUAUCUUCUAUGCAUUCACGUCUCAAUUAUUUAAUUGUUUAGUUGUUCAACUUAUAAACAAUGAAUGAAAACACCUAAGCUCUCUUUGGUUUAUAAUAUCAUUAAUUGGCAUUAAUUAAACCGUGUGACACCUAAUUAAGAAGGCGUUGUGUCAAACUUGUAAACAUACUUUAUAUAUAUAUAUAUAUAUAUAUAUAUGAGUCCGGCUAUGGUGCUUGUAAAAGCACUAAGCACUUGGUGCUUGUGAAUUUUUUACCGUUAGAUCUACGUAUUUGAUCAUUUUCAUCCGUUAGAUUAUACUAUUCAACCAACCACCCACUCAACCCAAGGGGGCCCACAUCAUCCUACUGCACAUCUAUUAAUCCAAGGGCUAAAAAUUUACAAGCACCAAUAACUUGGUACUUUUAAAAGCAUAGGAGCUCAAUUCUCUCUCUCUAUACACACACACACACACACACACACACACACACACACACACACACACACACACACACACACACACACACACACACACACACACACACACACG